AAAAAAAAAGUAAGCACCUACAAAGCCGGAAAUUUGUUUCUUGCCAAAUUAAAGAAGAUAAAUAAGUGUUUUUUGCUCAGAUACUUUAAAUAACAGAUAACAUCUACUUUUUCUUGUUCCUUUAACAGAUAACAUUUACUCAAUUUAAAAGUAAAUUAUUGUCAUCAGAGAACAUGCAAUUUUAGGGAUAAGCAUCCAUUAAAUCUUGUAGCUUAAUAACAAUAAUCACAAACAAACGGAAAAAAACUUACACGGUGAUGCGGCAGAAGAGUGUGACGGUGAUGCAGCAGAGGGAGAAAUCGACGAUGAUGUAGCAGAUGGUCAAGGAAAAUCAAAGGGAUUUCGGGAUCUUGAUUUAGGGAUUUUGAGAUUUUAAUUUUGGGAAAAAUUAAUGGAUUUGGGGAUUCUGAUUUUUACGGGGAAAAUAAGGGAUUUCGGGGUUUAAGGACAAAAUAAAGGAUUUCGAGGCUAUGGUUUAUAAGAAAAAUAAGGGAUUUUUAGCAAAGCAAAACGGCAUUGUUUUGUUUAAAAUAAAAUGUUUUUUUGCGGCAUUUUUUAUAUUGCUUACCCUUUGCGGUGUUUUUCUCAUAAAGGCCGCUACUGCUUUACCUAUUGCGGCGUUUUUCUGUUAACUCCACUAGUGUAUAAUAUUUGUGGCGUUUUCCAUCCAAACGCCACUAAAAACACCGCCAAAACCUUAAUUUCCUGUAGUGAUAUGUACUUGUUUUCUAUUUAUUUGAAUGAUGAAUAAAUAAAGUUAAUUUCACAUUUCACUGUUAUGUCUUUUGUAUUUCUAUCUUUCAUAUUUUGCAUGCAUAGUGAAAUUGUGACAAGCAAAUAUUAGCUCAUUGAUUAUUUAAGUUCAAACUGAUGAUAAGUGGCAUUGUAAGAACGUUUACAUUGCAAGAAAGAUAACUUACUUCAGUAGAUAAUCUAAACGAGUCUGUAAUCCCAUAAAAGAAUCAAAGUGGCCAUUUGAUUCAAAUACUUAAAAGGAUUAUUAUGUAGUCUACAAUUCCAAUUGAGGAGAUGGCUAGCCUUGGCUAUCAAAGCAGUUGAUUCCACCGGUAGAGACAUAGAUGUAUUCAUUGAAAGAAUGGUACAUUGGACUGGACCCAAGAUGAAUUAAUUUUGAAUCCGUUUGUAAAUUAAUUCACUUUUGAUGUUCAUGAUGUGAUUCACCUAAAUCCUAAGUUAGUCACUGACCAUGCAUAUGUAACUCAUGUGCUUUAAAAUAAACGAAGGCUUAUGCUCUAAAGAUGAUCGGGCCCAUAGCCAGUAUGUUGGGUACAUGACUUGUGUAUAACAUGGCUUUUCUAGUAGCAGUGUAAUUCAUAGUUCAAUUAAAGAGUUAAUGAUAUCCUCUCAUUGGCAUUGUGUGGAUUGAUAAACAUGGAACGUGACCAUGGGUCGCUUGUUCUCGAACAAUCAAUUUAUCACAGUCACUUGUUGACGGCGACCAUAUUAAUCACUAAGAAGACACAAUGGUGACAAUGAGAUAAAAUAGGAUUGUAUUGAGUGAACGGAUUUAACUUAAAGGAAUCAAGGAUAUCUUAUAAGGGUAACACACACAUGACGAGGUCAUUAGACAAAGUAGUUUGAUGAAUUACUUUCAUAAAGAGUAUACAAUAAGGAGUUUUCAAUCAUGGUACUUCUUGUGGACUGACUCCAUGAUUAAGUAAUUUUGAAUUAUCGAAAUGAUGCUUUUGGACAUAAUUGCAAUUACUAGAGCCUAAUUGUAUAUGUCCGAUUGGUCCCUCCGCUAGCUCAACAAAAGCUCAACGGACUGCAUUUGAAUCAAAAGAAAAUUCUACGACUUUGGAAAUAAUUUAAUUGAGUCAAUUUAUUCGAUGUGGAAUUAAAUUGGGCGGUUGUAAGAAUUGUUCAACUAGAGAAUUUGAUUAAAAAAAUUUCUUAAAAAUUUAAUUUUCAAAAUCUAGGUGAAUUUUGGGAAAAUUAAUUUUGAUCAAAUAAAAUUAAAUUAAUCAAAUUAAUCAAAUUAAUUAAAAUUAAUAUGAUAUUUUCAAAAAUUAAUUUUCAAAUCAGACAAUUAGCCCAAUGGGAAAUUGAACUUGAAAAUUAGGCCUGGAUCGAAAAUUGGGUUCGAAAGCCCAAAAUCGAGACCAAGACCCAAAAAAAGGUCAAACCGGGCUUGGUAUGUGAAAUAGGACAGACAGUCCAACCAGUGGCUAGAUCGGAUUGGUUGAGCCAUCACUAGCUCAGACCGAACCUACAGAAACUGAACUAGCUCGGGUGCUAACAAUUGCGACGACGACAUUCCAGUGGCCUACAAAUGGUCGAUGGCGGUGAGUCUUUGGUGGUUGAACAGUGGAAGAAUUACACUCCUACUGGAACUCCACCAAAGAAUUUGAUUUUAGAUUAACUAUUUCAAAAAUAAUAUUAUUUUAAUAGAUUUAAUAUUAAAUUUAAUUUAAUACUUAUCUUAUUAAUAUUUUAUUAAUUUAAUAUUAAAGUGAUUAUCUUAAUAUUAAAUUUAAUUUAUUGUGAUUAUCUUAAUAUUAAAUUUAAUUUAUUGUUUAUCUUGUAGAUAAAUAUUUUAUUAAUUUAAUAAGAUUUAAUAUUAAAUUUAAUUUAAUAUUUAUCUUGAUUAGUAUUAAAUUAAUUUAAUAUUAAGGUGAUUAAGAUUAAUCAUAGUUGAACUUUCUAAACUCUACCUAUAUAAAGAGAGCAUUGGGUCAUUAUUUGACAGAAUUCAAGAGAAAAUUGUAGAGAGAAAAUUCUCUGAAGAAAUUAUUUUAGAAAAUUUCUAGAGAUAUUUUUCUUAUUUAUAACUUGGCCCAAAUGUAACACCUCUAACCCGUAUCCGUUUCCGGAAUAGGGUUUCGGAGUAUUACUGGACUUAUUAUCUCAUACAUUUUUCAUAUCCAAACAAAAAGUCAUUCACAAUCAAUCAUAUUGUCCCUAAUACGAGCCCUCGAUGCUUCAAACAAACAUUAGAAGUGGUUCGGGACUAAACCGAAGGAAAAUUUUAGAAAAACAUAGAAAAUUUUCAAAGUACAUGGGACACACGCCUAUGUGGCCCGGCCGUGUUUCUUGCAUGGCCAAAGACACGCCCGUGUCACAGGCUGUGUGAACAUUCAAAAUGGGAUCACAUGGCCGUGUCCAAGCCCGUGUCCAACCCCAUGUAACUCACUGACUUGGGUCACAUGUCCAACCACAUGCCCAUGUGACUAGCCCGUGUACCCUUCGAAAUGGUCUCACACGCCCGUGUGCCAGGCCAUGUGAAAAUUGGAGGGUAUACUGACUUGUGCCACACGGCCAAGUCACACGCCAGUGUGCUGGGCCAUGUGGAGCUACUGACUUGGAUUCUAAAUAAGUACCAGGGAACACACGACCAUGUCUCCUUGCCGUAUGUCACACAUGGCUGAAACACACGCCCAUGCCUCUGCUCGUGUGGACAAAAAUAGGCUAUGUUUCAAGCCAAAUUUCUCACCCAAAAUGUUGUCAACCUAGGUUCAACAAUGCACAAACAACCAAUGAAUAAAUAGGCACUUAUAACCAACCAAUUUCAAGCCAAAAUCAUAUACUACCAAUACCAACAACCAAAAUGCUCAUAAGCAUCCCAACUAGCCAUUCAAAUUCAUACCAAUUUCACAUCCAAGAAUCACCUAAAUGAUCAAACUCAUCUAUUAAACUUUGUGCCUAAAUCAACAUGCAUACUACAUUCUCAAAUUCCAUCAUUUUGCACUCAAAAUACCAAUUCACAACAAGACAUUCACAUAACAAUUAUAAACCAUUUAUCAAAGCCCAUUUACACAUAUAUAUAUACAUAACCAAGUUUAUCAAAAUAAGCCAAUUCACAUGGCUAAACACAUAACCAAAAACAUAUAUCGUUUACAAGCCAAAUCAAAUGGCUAACAACAUUACAAACAUAUAGACCAUAUUAACUACAACUCUUAUACAUGCCAUAUAACCAAGUACACAAGUUCAAAAGUACUGAAACAACAGCUGGAUAGUGUGAUGAGAUAUUCAACGACUCCCAAUCCGAGUAAGUUUCGAAGUAAACAGUGUAAGCUAUUUAGCUUAGUAAGCUCGUACGGCUAAUAAGUAUAACUUACCAUUCAUUCACAAUUUAAGUAAUAUAAAUACAAUAUAUUACAAUUCAACUUAAUCACAAGGCUAACAUAUAUUCAUCCACAUAGUAAAUCUUAAAACUCACAAAUUUCAUGGAUUCAAUGCUUAUAUAGUUUAUGUACAUACCUGCACGGAUACGUAUCAAUCUAUUACCCUUUCAUAUCAUCAAUAUACCAGUUCAACCAUUUGGAAUAAUAUUGGAUACUCGGGAAUCUCACAACCUAUGUGCCCAUACAUGGUCGAAACCAUCUCAAUAUCAUAUCUCAUAUGUAAAUGUUCAUCUCGAACUAUCACUGGGUCUGCUCACACAAGCUUACGGUCAAGAAAUAGCUACACGAUGUUGCUCACACAAGUUGAUGAGUAACCGCAACACAUGUCGAAAAACUCAGCCACCGGUAGAAUGUACCGACUAGCACCCAAAACACAAUAACCCCUAAUGACAUGUCAUUUGUAUCUUAUCUAUUCCUAAGGUUCAACCGGGAUUUCACACGUCGCCAAAUCUUCGUCGAACAUUUCCAUAAAGUCAUAUUCAUCAAUAAUGUAAUUAUAAAGCAUUUAAAACAUAAUUACAUUAAUGCUUAUUAACAUACGAACUUACCUCAAUCACAAAAACGACGGAAUAGGAUCGACUAAUCCAAUACUUUAUUUUUCCCCCAAUCUAGAUCCGUACGUUGCUUUUCUUGAUCUAUAAUCAAAUUUAACUCAUUCAAAAUACAUUUUAUUCAAUUUAAUCCAAAAUUCAUAUUAUGGAAAUUUUACACCUUUACCCCUUAUAUUUUAACAUCUUUACAAAUUAGUCCCUUGCUCAUAAAAAUGCAAAUUCAUGCAAUUGAGCCCACACUCAUGCUAGCCGAAUUUCAUCUAUGCUAAUAGAAGCCCACAUAUUUAAUUAUUUCACACAUUUACCACAAUUUAUCACAUUUCUCAAUUUAAUCCUUAAUUUGCAAUUUCAACCAAAAUCACUUAACAAAUGUUGUUUAUCUAACAACAACCAUCCAAUUUCUAUCAUCAAACAUCAAACCACAUAUACAUUCCUCAAUGGUAAAACCCUAAAAUUUUAACAGUUUUACAAAUUAGUCCCUGGGCUAGCUAGAUUAAGCUACAACAAUUCUGAAAACAUAAAAAUAAUUAAAAAUGGGACAAAAAACACUUACCAAUUAAGCCUCAAAAUGACAGAACCCUAGUUGAUAAAAAAUGGCUUCCUUCCCUUGGAUAUUCGGUUGAAAAUGAUGAUAAAAAAAAGAUGAUACUUAGUUUUGUUUCAUUUAUUUAAUCUUUAUUAAUUAAUUUACUUUUAUAACCUUUUAAAAUAUUACAAAUUUCAAAUAAACCAAUCUCAUAAAUGUCCACUAACACACUAAUGGUCUAACUACCAUUUAAGGCCACUCAUAUUCAAAAUUCAUAGAAAUUUGACAAAUUUUUCUUAUAGAACUCUAAUUUUGCACUUUAUUCGAUUUAGUCCUUUUUAUUGAAUUGAGUAUUCAAACGAUUUAAUUUCUUAACAAAACUUUCAUUUAACUCAAUUAACAUGCUGUAGACACUAAAAUAAUAAUAAAAUAAAUAUUUUUGACCUAGGAUUUGUGGUCCUGAAACCACUGUUCUGAUUUUACCGAAAAUGAGUUCUUACACCAAAAGUUUAUAAAAAUUGCAAAAUUACCCCACUGAUAAUUUCUGUGAAAAAUUUUUUGAUUUGAAGUGAGCCCACACUCAGAAAACGUGAGCUUGAGGAUAGUGGUCGAAGCAUUCAUCCCAGACAAAUAAAAAGGUAUAAUUUUGAUUAAGUGUUUAUUACUUUAGAUAUCACAACAAAGUUCUAAUUUUGGGGAAAAAAUUAAAACUCUGGCCUUUCCCUAAAUUUAUUUUCUGUUGUGUUUCCCAAACCUGAUUUUUCAAUAGUAAUAUGGUUUCAAAAAUGGUAAGUAUCGAUACCAAUACCAGGGUAUCGCUACCUUAGGGCCAAAUAGGUCAAAAACUCUCAUUUUAGUCUCUCUUCAUGCCUAAACAAAAAUUGACUCAGUUGGUUCCAUUAGAUACUCUUUAACGCACAUAAAACCAUCUCAAAAUCAUGCCUAAACCAUUCAAUUCGACAAUACUCAAUCAGUCAACCAUUACACAUACAAAAUCAUCCAUUUUUAUAUCACUCAUCGCAAUUUAUAUUAACUCACUUUUAAACCAUUUCACAUCAUCUAUUUCCAUAUCAUAUCAAACUUAAACAUGCAAAUAUAAGUACUAUUCAUAUUUGUAUAAUCAUUCCAAAAAUAAUCAAUUUAAUAAGGCACAAAUUAGCAUUAACCAUACUACUUCAAUCUAUUUACUCAAUUAUUCAUUCAACCUAUCAUCAAUUCAUACCACAAUCACUCACCUUACCUUUGCAUACUUAUUUAAGCUACUUAAUUAAUUCAUUUCAUUUUAUCACAUAAAACAUGUCUAAAUCAUACACCAAUAACCAUAUGCACUCUACCUAUCAACUUGAACAUUCCAUCCUACAAUAAUAAAUGUAAUAGUUUAACCAACUACUAAGUGGUCUCAUACCAAUUCACUUAUCAUAUUACCAAUUCACCUAUAUAAGCAUUCCAACAUGGUCAAAACAUACCUAUACCAACAAGACACUAAUCAUUUAUGCCACAUUUCCAUUCCAAACUAAUAUAAUUCUAGCAUAUCAUCUACCAACAUUAAAACAUAUAAUCAAAUUAUACCAACUUCCAUUUAUCAAUUUUACAAAACAUAAUUAUAAGUAUUAUUAGCUUCUAACUCAAACAUCCCAAACUUAGCAAAAACACAAGGGAUUCCACCAAGUACAUGCUCUAUUAUAUACUAUUUGUUACACCCCAUAUCUAGUCCGACCGUCAAACCCAAGUUACAAGAUGCUACAACAGUUAAUAGGUUCAUUCAUAUACAUUUAACAUCAAUAACAUUCAAAAAAUCACAAAUAUAAGUCAUGAUUUAUGAUUAUUAUGAAUUACAACCAAACCUGAGUCUUAAGUUGACCGAGUACAAAUAAGGACUAAAUUACAAAGUUUUAAAUAAUUAGGGAAAAAUUAUAAAACAGUGUCACAUGGCCGUGUGGUCAGGCCGUCUAGAUUUAGAUAACAUGAUCGUGUAAUCAAAUCAUGUCACAAACUAAAACCAUGUAUAAAAGGAUCACACGGUCGUGUUACCAGGUCGUGUAACAAACUGAGACCGUGUGGACCUAAAUGUACAAUCUUGCAAACAUUCAUACGGCCAUAUAGCCAGGUUAUGUGAAAGACUGAGACUGUGUUUUCUAGAGUCACAUAGUCAUGUAUUCAGACCGUGUAACUCACUAAGGCCAUGUAUACAAAUCACUUCCUAAUUCAUAAAGACCACACAGUUGUGCCACAUGCCCAUGUGCGGCACAUCACUGUGUAGCCAGGCCAUGUAUACCAUAAGUAUCUUUUAAAGCAAGCUAUAAAACCAUAUAUUCACUUAUGCCACAAACAUUCAUUAUACUAAUCACUAGGCAUAUUCAAUGCAACAAAAACAUACCUGAAUACAACUUAAAACAUCUCCCUAUGUGCCUAACCAAUAUGUUGCAAUUGGCACCUCAAUUCAAAAAUUCACAAUCAAUCAUUCACACCAAGCAUUUCCUAAGAUCCAUUUCAUACUUUCAUCACCAAACUAUCAUUUUCAAAUGCCAAAUUCAACAAGCAAAAUGCACCAUAAGUAUGAAAGCAUACUUAUACCAUCACAUGCCACAACCAACCAAAACAAUCAUUAAAGCUUACAACAAAACAUAUAGUGUAAUGACCCAAAGUUUACGGGUAUCGAAAAAGUGUAAUUUCGAGUCACUUUUUUCGUAAAAAUUGAGUAUAGGGUAAAAAUUGAAUUAUAGAAUCAAGAACAGUUGAAGGACUAAAUUAGCAAAUAAACCAUAAGGGAUAUAAGUGACAAAUGUAUGAAAAAUAUUAUUCCAUGUGUAUGUAUAAUAUACAUAUAUUUAUACUUAAUACUUAAGUAUAAUAUAAUAAUAUAAUAAUACAUAAAGUAAAUCAAAGAAAGUAAAAGAAUUAAAAAGAAAGAAAGAACAGAUAAGUGAAGCGAAAAAGAGAGAAAAAAAAGGAAAGAAAAUGAAAGGGGAAAUUAGGGGCUAAGGAUUCAAAAUUAAUUUGAUAAGUCAAUUUAGAUGUGGGGGUCUUGUAAUUUUGAUGUUUUUAGAAUCCUAGAACAAAAUAUUACUUGAUUUAUGUGGAAAUUUUGAAAGUUAGAUGAUUUUUAGAUGUGGUUUAUAUUGAAUUAUUGAAGAAUUAGGUUUGAAUUGAUAGAAUUUUAAGUUAGAAUUGAGAAAAAAUUAAAUUACAAAACAAAUCAUAAGUUUUAUGUAGUAGGGACUAAAUUGAAAGAAUUUUGAAAUUAGGGUUUUAUGGUGAAAUUAGGGAGUUGAAAUUAGAUUAUAGUGGAAAUUGAAUUGAGAUAUGGAAUUAGUUUUGUAAGAAAAUAGUUAGUUUGAUUUAAGGACUAAAUUGGAAUUAAAGCAAAAAGUUGUAUAUAAAUUGAAAUAUUCAAUGUUAAAUUGUAGUGUAUUGAUAAUUUUUAAUUGUUUCGAUUUUCGUAGCUAACAUUGACUCAGAGACAUCGGUUAAGAAAGGAAAGGAAAAAGUCAACAAAGAUUAGCUCGGAAAAUACGGUUUGUAUUUCUAUAAUUCGAAUUUAAUAAUAAUUUAAUGUAUUUAUUGAUGAUAUGUAUGAUAAGUGAAAAUUGAGGUAAGUGUUGAUAUUAUGGUAUUGAAUUGGAUUGUGAAUAUGUAUGGAUUAUUAAAUUGAAAUGUGUAUUGAUUGAAAAUUGAAAGUGAAUUGAAUACCCUAUUAACAAUGUCGGGCUAAGUCGGAUAUAGUUGGCAUGCCAUAGGAUUGGAAGUGUUCAGGGUACUUCAACUUUGAAUCGAUGAGACACUAUGUGUCUUAUUAUUAUUGCUUUGGAUAAAUCCGAUAAGGUACUGAGUACAAUAUUGUUUUACGUCGGUAUGGCCGAUCAGGCACUGAGUGCCGUACUGGUAUGUUUGGGUUGGAUCUGCGUAUCCGUCAAAGUCCGAGUUCUGUUAAUAGGGAUAUAUGAAUGAAUUGAUCAAAUGAUUGACAUUGAAAAAUAUUGAAUACGAAAUGAAUAUUGAUACUGAAAUUGAAAAUUGAGAAAUUUAUUGUGAAAUGCUAUUGAAUAGCAAUUGUGAGAUUGAAAUAAAAGAUAUGAUGAGUUUAUGAAAUUGAUUCUUUAUUGAACGAUUUUUAUUAUGUAUGAUUAUGCAUUUGAACAUUAUAAAUUUUUUCUUAAUAAGUAUUUGGAUUAUAGAAAUACCACUGAGUUAUACUUAGCGUAUGAUUUGUUUCCAUGCGCAAGUCAGGUAAAGUCCGAUCAUUGAAUCAGCAUCCAAAGUCGAUCCCGAACUCAAGCACGUGGUGAAGUAUUUUCUCUUUUGAGAAUGGCAUGUACCUAGGUUAUCUUUUGAUGACAUUUUAAGAUGUGAAUAUUAAUGGUGUAUAAGGUGAUAUUAGUUUAUCUAUAUAUAUAAACAUAUGUCUUAUAAUAUAGCCAUUUAUAUGGUUUUAGUUUGAAUUGUUGAAUGGUAUUUAAAUGAAUUUAUUAGAUAAUUUAUGUUAGAUAUAUAUGAACAUGCAUGAGUUAGAUCUUUAUAUUGAUAGUUCUGACAUGUUUUAGAUGUACUUAAACAUGUUUUAGACUGGUUGAAAGAUUGGAUUUUGAAUUACUUGAUGUUCAAGGUUUGUAGGGUUGGUAAACUUGUUGUAUAAGGCUCAUUUUGAGUCCACACGGCUUGGCACACGGGCGUGUGACCAGACCGUGUGAGAUACACGUCUUACACAUGGGCGUGUGGUUAGGCCAUGUGUCCUCUGCAAUUUAAAAUUUUAGAAACAGAAUGCUCAGGUUUUGCCACACCGGCAGAGACACGAGCGUAUGUCUCAGCCAUGUGAGGUACACGGCCUAGUACACGGGCAUGUGCCCGGCCGUGUGAAAACUGCACCUUAAAUUCAAAAAAUAAAUUGACCACAUGGCCUAGCACACGGGCAUGUGGCUUGACCGUGUGAGGCAAGUCAGAGAGUUACACGGGGUAGGACACGGCAUGUCAUAGGGUCACAUGGGCGUGACAACCCUGGGCCUCGGAAAAAUUUUGAAAUUUCUCGUAAAAUCCUCUAAGUUUCCAAUUAAGUUCUGAUUAGUUUUUAAUACAUGUAUUAGGCCUCAAAGGCCCAUAAAAGAGACAAUAUGAUUAAUUUAUGAUGUGUUUGCUAUUUAACUUGUUUAUUGUUCAUCAUUGAUCUAAAUAAUUCGGCACUGCCCGUAACCCUGUUCUGACGAUGGAUAAGGGUUAGGGGAUGUUACAUAUAGUUCACAUCAAAAUGGCACAAGACAUAAUUCAACCACUUAUAUAUACAUAGCCAUUAUUACCUAUUUACAUGCCACUUAUAACCGAGCCAAAAUGAACAAAAGUCUACCAAAAGAUUUGCUGGAUAGUGUGAACUUCGGAGACAAUCCAAUCAACAACAUAUUUUUCAGCAAUCUACAAGGAAGAAAACUGAAAUGAAGGUAAGCUUACUUAAAGCUUACUUAAAGCUUAGUAAGUUCGUAUGAAAUUAACACAAUGUACUCGACAAUUAAUAAUUUUAACUAAUGAAAAUAUCAUAUAAACAUAAUAUUCCAUUGUCACCUUACACAUUUUAUAACAUAGCCAAUUUGGUUAGUUCAUCAGUCGAUACAUAUACAUAACAUAAUAUGCAUUACAACCACAUUCAAUUCAUAGCUAACAUUUCCAUUCAAAUACAUCUUUUGUUUCAAUUCAAUUUCAUACUUAGUUUUUUCCAAGGAACUAUAGUAAAUUAACUUCAGAUACUCGGGAUAACUUUGCUCACAUGAGCUGUAAAUAGGGAAACUAACCAUUACUUGAUGCUGCUCACAUGAGCUGUGGAGAAUCCGUAACAAAUGUUAGAUCUCAACCAUCAGUAUGGUAUCCACCACUGAUACAUAAUACUUGAUAAAUAUAGACACUGGCACAUAGUGCUUGAUAUAACAUGAACACCGAUACAAAGUACUUGAUAAUAUAGUCACCAAUAUAUAGUACCUGAUAAAAUAUAAACAUUAGCACAUAGUGCCUGAUACAUUAAUGUAACAGUCCGUUUUCAAUGAAAUCGGAAUAGUGGUUUUGGGACUACAAUUUUGAGUCCAGAAGAAAAAUUAUUUUAAUAUUAUUGCAUGGUCUGCAUAAUGAUAGAAAUUUUGGACAGAAAUUUUGUUAAGAAAAUUUUAUCGAUUUCAAAUUUAAUUUGAUGAAAAUGACCAAAUUUCAUAAAGUGCAAAAGUUGGAUUCUAAUAGCUAAAGGGAUCAAAUAGCUAUGAAAUUCAAAAUUGGAGGUCCUUAUAUGGAAAAUAGACUAUUUAUAGGAGUUAGUAGAUAAGUAUGCUUAGUCAUCUGUGGAAAAUUAACUAAAGAAAAGGACUAAAUUGGAAAGAGAAAAGAUAAAAGAUGAUAAAUAAUAAAAUAAUUGAAAAUAUCAUAAUUUUAUCAUCUUUCCUAAAAUUAAAGACAUGGAAACCUUAGUUAUGGGUGGAGAGUUCAAGCAAACUAUUUUGGCUUGAUUAGGUAUGAAUUCUUGUCCUGUUUUUAGUAAUUUUCAUAUUUCUGAUAUCGUAAUAGAUUAAUUUAGCUAUCUCGGGGAUUAAUUUGUAAAGUUAUCAAAGUACUAGGGUUUUUCCAUGGAUAAUUAUGCAUGAAUUAUGAAGUUUUAUGGUAGAUAUUGAAAGGUUGUUGAUACAUAAACAAUUUUUGUAAAGGGAAUUUUGAUCAAAUUGUGAUUUAAGGACUAAGUUAAAAAGAUGUAAAAUUCAUGAAAAAAUUUUGAAUUUUGUGAAAUACAUGUGCUACUAUUGUCACAUAUAAAAAUCGGUUAGGCACGAAAUAAUGAUUAAAUUGCAUGAAUUUUAUUUUUCGAGCUUAGGGACGAAAUUGGAAUUAAUUAAAAGUAUAAGGGCAAAAUGGUAAUUUUGCCUAAGAUGUGAAUUGGAUUAAAUUGAAUAUGAAUUGUAUUAAAUUGAUGUUAAAUGUAUUCGUAUAGAUCCAGAUGGACCAAAUACAAAGUUAGAACAAGGAAAAGAAAAAGUAUCGAAUUAGUAGAUUACAAAUCCAUGAACACUUGUUGAGGUAAGUUCGUGUAACUAUAUUGUAUGUUUAUAUUUUUGAAUUGAAUGUUGUGUAUGUAAAUUAUAUAAAUUGUCAUGUAUGAAAAUUAAUCACAAAUCCAACAAUGUUCGACAAGUAUAAAAUCUCAAUUGUACAAAUGAAAAUUUGAUAAAUACAGUACUCCCGAAUUGGUUGUGAUCCUGCAUGUGUUGCGGACACACCAUAGCUCGAAAGAGCGUCCCAUUAUUAGCUCUCAUGAGCAUCCUAAUAUUUGGCUCUCACGAGCUUAUUGUUAUUUGGUUCAAUGAGCUUCCCAUUAAUAGCUCUUCGGAGCAUUCCGAUUGGUAGUGAUCCUACAUAUCUUGUGGACACAUCGUAGCUCUUAUGAGCGUCCCGAUAUAUGGCUCUUCAGAGUUUCCUGUUUAAAGGCACUUCAUGAGUAUCUCGGUUAAUGGCUCUCCGGAGCUUCUUGAUAUUGCUCGCUUGAACUUCCCGUUGCAUGACUCACAUGAGCUUCCCGUAAUAUGGCUCGAAAGAGCUUCCCGUUUACCUACUUUCAUGAGCAUUCAUGUAUAUGAAUCGACGGAUUAUAGUUUUGUACACCUUGUGUGUACUACCCGUGUAUCUAUCGAUAUUUUCAAAAAUUCAACGGGCAAAAUCCUGGCAUGAGAAAAUAUGAGUUCAAAAUGAAUUGUUACUCGUAUAUUCCAAAAAUACAUGAAAGUGAUUAGAGGUGUGCAUAGGCCGGGCCGGGCCGGGUUUGAACUGAGCCCAUAAAAAAUUUUCUGCCCAUUUUCAAGGCCCGGGCCCAGCCCGGCCCGAAAUAUGGGCCUAGAAAUUUGUUCAAGCCCGGCCCGAGAAAAAAGUAGGCCCAAGCCCGGCUCGGCCCGACCAUAUUAAUUUUUUUUACUUUUUUAUUAAAUAAAAAAUUUAAAAUAUAAUAAAUCAAAUACAUUUAAAAACAUAAAAACAAAUAUUAAAACAAAAAACAAAUAAAAAAUGAUACUAAAAUAAUUCUUAAAAUAAUAUAUAAAUUAAAAAUAUAAUAAAAAGUAAUUAUAUUAAAAUUGAAAAGUUGAAACAAAUUAGAACUAAAUUAAGAACCAAAUUAUAUUAAUAACAAAAGUUUUACAAUAUCAAAAUAACAUUAAAAACAACAAAAAGAGUAAAGUCAAAGUACUAAAGUUACUUAAAAUUAAAAAUAAAAAAAUUUAAAAAUAAUUUAAUAUUAAAAUCGGGCCGGGCAGGGCCCGGGCCAAAAGAAUCUUACCCGGGACCUGACCCGUUUUCUAAACGGGCCUCGUUUUUUGUCCAAGCCCAUUUUUCAGGCCUAUAUUUUUACCCAAACCCUCCCAUUUUUCGGGAGGGCCUUCGGGCCGAGCCGGGCUGCCCGGCUCAUGGAUACCUCUAAAAGUGAUGAUAUUUGACAAAUUGAAAUAUGGAAUGAAAGAUAUAUGUGUAUGAAAUUUGCUUGAUAACUAUGUACAUUUAUAAAUAUGAAUUGUUACAUGAAUUUCAUGACUAACAUGCUUGACGAGGAUGUGUUAGAGAUUUUGGUCAAUUUGCUUGAGUAUGCCUUGUAUGCAUGUUUACUUUAGUUGUAAUUAAAUGGUAAGUUAAUUUCCCGUUAUACGAACUUACUAAGCAUUAAAUGCUUACUCUGUUUUAUUUUCUCUGUCUUAUAGUACUCUGAAGCUUGUAAAGAUUGGAAAUUGGUCGGAGCUACAUCACACUAUCCAUCAGCCCAUUUCGGUAUAUAUAGAUAACUAAUAUUAGUUAUAAUGACAUGUAUAGGUUGAUUAACCAAAUGUUAGCAUGUAAUGUUUUGGUUGUAACUAGCCAUUGGAAUGGCUUGUGAUGGGUAUGGUUUUGAUGUGUAUAUAAGAGGUUAUAUCGUGUUUGAUGUUGGUGUUAGGUAUAGUUGAUUGAUAGUAAUUUCAUUGGUUGUUGGAUUUAUGAAGUGAUAUUACAUGCAUAAGACUUGGUUUUAGCUUGAUUUGAAUGUUUUGUUUUGGCUUGUGAAUGUGACAAAGUGUCGAUGUAGGUUGAAAGCAAAAAUGGGUGAGAAAUGGGGAUUGGAAAAUGGCCAUUUUCGUCCACACGAGCGUGUAUCUCAGUCGUGUGUGACACAUGACCUAGCACAUAGGCGUGUGAUAUGGUCGUGUGUCACCUGCAUCUUAAAAUUUAGAAAUAGAAUGCUAAAAAUUAUCCACACGACCUAGCACAUGGGCGUCUGGCUUGGCCGUGUGACCCCUGCACCUUAUUAAUGCAACCGUGUGCUAAGUCAUGUGACCCAAGUUAGAGAGUUACAUGAGUAUGGACAUGGGCUGGGACACGGCCGUGUGUCCCUAUUUUGAAUACCCACACGGCCUAAGACACGGAUGUGUCUCUUGGCCGUGUCUGGGCGUGUGUCCCCUGCAUCUAGGAAAUUUUUUGAAAUUUUGCGAAAAAUUCUCUAAGUACCCAGAUUAGUCCCGACUUACUUCUAUUACAUAUUUUGGGCCUUGAGGGCUCAUAUAAGGGAUAAUAUGAUUGAUUAUGAUUGAUUUUUUAUAUGAAUGAGAAAUUAUAUAAAAUGUUUGUACUUGAUUUGUGAACUCUGGUAAUGCUCCGUAACCCUGUUCCUGCGACGGGUAUAAGUUAAGGGUGUUACAAUUAAACCCUAAUGACAUGUCAUUUGUAUCUUAUGCAUUCACUAAGUCCAUACGAACCUAAUUCAAUUCCCGUGUUCUUUCCAUCAUUAUAGAAUAAUCUCAUAUAACAAAAUGCACCAAUUGACAUUCCAUAUCAUCUCUCAAUUCAUUACAAUCUCUCAAUUCAUUCCAACAAUUUUCCCUUUUCCGCGUUUAUCGACCAAUUGAUCCUUUUCCUGAUCCAUAUAAUAAUUUAACUCAAUUAACAAAUUCCAAAUACCUUAUAAUGUCUAAACAUAUGCAUAUGAUCCUUUAAUAACAUUUUACAAUAUUUUUCAAAACUUUUAUGUUUUAUUCAAUUUAGUCCCUAAAACUGAAACUUACAUAUCUUUUAUAAUUGAGCUCCGUUUUUCAUUCCAUUAUUAAUUUCAUCCUUUAAUAAAUAUCUAGAAUAAAAAAUUACCGAAUUUUAUAUUAAUUUUGGCCUUAUUUCAUUUUAGUCCCUAAACUUAAAACUAUUAAAAACCACUUUACAAAAUAGUCAAAUUCCAUAAAAAAGUUUUAAACUUUAACAUUUAACAUCCAAAAAGCUUCAAAAACAACAAUGGUAUCUUUUAAAAUAUUUUACAGUUUUACAAUUUAGCACCUGGGUUAGCUAGAUUAAGCUAAAAUGAUCUCAAAAACAUAAAAUUUACAAAAAAACAAGCUUAGUUUACAUACCAUGAAAGAAGAAUAAAGCUUGUUCGAUUAUUUCCUACCCCAAAAAUGGUGUUUUUUGUUCAAGGAAGAAAAAUGAGGAAGAUUGUGGCUUGUUUUUUUUUAUGUUUAAUAUUUACUAAAUUACCCUUUAAUUAAACAUAUAUUAUAACUAAAAUGCAUAUACAUAACUGUCCACUAAAUAACUAUGGCAUAAUUGUCUUUUAAAACCAUUCAAUAAUGCCUUUAUACUCAUUUAACACCUUUAAAUUAAUAGCGAUUAAGUUUUAUGAUUUUUAUGAUUUAGUCCUUGUACCAUAAUUAACUAUUCAAACAUCAAAAUUUUUGGACCAAACUUGAAUAUGACACUCUAAUGACCUCAUAAAUAUUAAAAAAAUAAUAUUUACAGACUCACUUAUCAAAAUUGUGGUCCCAAAACCACUGUUUCUGACAACACUGAAAAUAGGUUGUUAUAUUAUCACUAUUCAUAUUCAAUUUCAUGUAUUAACUAAUUCAUACAACUUUCUAUACUAUUCAAUUCAUUCCCUAUCUCUAUAUUCACUUCCACCCUUAGAAUUUUCAACUCAAUAUCUAUUAAUAGCUUACCUUAAUGUUAUAUAAUUCAAUAUAUUAUGAAUAUGCUUUAACUAAAAUUAGUUUCGAAUCAUAGAAAUACAAAUCGAAAGCUCGUGUCACUCGUCGUCGACUCUCGCCUUUCCUUUUCCUUUCGAUGAUCCUAUGUCAUUUUUAACUACAAAUAAUAAUUCAGUAAUGGUAUAAUAUCAAAUUCUAUUCAAAUCACAUUUAAUUACAAGGUCACACAUAUUUUGCAAAUUAUUCAAUUUAAUCAUCUAUUUCGAUAAUCAAUCAAAUUCAUACCAAUACUAUUCAAUUAGUCAUAAUCAAAUAUCAAUUCAUUAAAUAUAUAAAAUUUUGAUUCAUCAUAUUCUAUUCAAUCAAUUUAUCAUUUCUUUACGAUUUAGUCCAUAUCACACAUUUUUGUACCAAAUUGUAAACAAUUCAAAUUACAAUCACAAAAAAAUAAUUUCAUAAUUCAAGAAUAUAUUAAAAAUACAUAUAAUUAUACCAUAUGAACUUACUUGGUUAAAUCAAUAAACAAUUUGAAACUUUAAGAACUAUUCAACAAUUUUGUAUUUUCCUCGAUUAUUUCUAAUUUGGUCCAAUUUUUUAUCUCUACAAUUAUUUCAUUCAAUUUAUCAAUUCCAAACAUCUUAUAUCAUCCUAUUAUGUGCAUGUAUCAGUUCAAUUUCAUUAUUUGAAUACCCCUAAAUUUUAUCAUUUUAUUCAAUUUAGUCCCUAAAAUCAAAUUUGCCAUAACUUUCAAAUUUGAGCUUCGAUUUCGAAACUGAUCUCAAUUACAUCCUUCUACAACUCUCUAUUAUCCGUAAUUAUAUAAAUUUAACAUUAAUUUUGAAAUUUAUACAGUUUAGUCCCUAUGUUCAAAAACUAGUAAUCAAACUUUACAAACUAGUCUUUUUUCACCUUUAAGCUUACAAUCUAACAAAUUAACACUAAAAGCUUCAAGCAUUCGUCAAUGUAAAUUUCUAAAAACUUGAACAAAUUUGAAAAAUGAUGCUCGGAUUAGCUAAAUUAAGCUUUCAUCAUCUCAAAAAUGUAAAAUUUAUGAAAAACAAACUUUUAAUUCCUCACCAUGCAAAGGCCGAUUGUAUUGAAGCAUGAGAGAAGAAAACAGAGAUGCACCAUCACAUGCAAGACAUUUGGCUUCAUUUUCAUGCAUGAAAAUGUUACGUGGUGCUCUACCUUCAUGCCAAAAUAACAUUACAAUCAUAUCUGCAUGGAAUGCUUAAGAUCACAUGGCAUUAACAUGUCUCAUUCCCAAGGGAAAUCAUGAGUUUAGAACAAAAACAUGUUAAAGCAAAUUGAGUUUCAACAUUUCAAAAUCAUUUAAUAUUAAAGCAUCAAGAAAAGGCAAGGAGAAUACAAGAUUGAAUGUGCUAAAGCUUCAAUCCAAACAUAUAAGACUUCUUAAACCAUUAAUAUAUAGAUUUGCACUUCACAAAUUUUCUCCUAUUCGCCUCUAAUUUUUUUUUUAUCAUUUUGGUCCCUAAGUUUGACCUCUGUUACAUAAUUGGUUUUUACACUAACAAAGUUUUUUUUCUUUUAAAAAUUUGUUGAUGUGGACAAACAUAGAGCUGACACAUGGAGAAAUAACGGAACGACAUGUGAAUUCAUUUUUAACCAUUCUUAAAAAAAAAACCCUAAUUUUUUUUAAAAAGUUAAAUUUUAUUAAAAAUAUAUAUAAGAAAUACAUAAAUCAUAAAACUUUAAAUAUAUAUAUAAAUUGAAAAUAAUAAAAAAAAAGAAUAUAUAAAUUGAAAAUAAAAAUAAAAAAUUUAGUUAAAAUUUCAAAAAAAUUAAAAAAUAAAUUUGGUUAAAUUUUUAUAAAAUUACAAGAAAUUGUAAAAUUUAAAAUAUUUUAAAAUAUUUUAAACAUAAAAAAAUAAAAAUUGACCGGUUGACAUUGGUCUACUCCCUGUUAGCGUUGGUCAAUGCUGGUCAAGCUCGGUUAACUUCACAACUAAUAAUUUUCCAAAUUAACUAAUUUGAAACCUUUUAAGGAUAAUGUUUAACAUUUACAACACUAUAUUUUUAAAUAGGCAAGAUAGAAUCAAUUCCUCAAAACCUUAUGUAUAUUCUCACAAGUUUAGAAAUGGAAUUGAAAUAAGGAAUACUUCUCAAAGGUUGAUUUACAAUGAUUCAAGCUCACUCAAACAAAUUACAACACUUGAAAAAAUGAAAGAAAAUAAAACCCCAAGUGCAUACGAGUGUAAAAUAAGAAUAACAAAGAAAGGAUUGGAUUUUUGUACAAAUAGCUUUGUAAACUUUUUUUUUUUCGUCUUCAUUUUGGUGUCCUUGAACUCUAUUUAUACUCCCUCAUUGAUUUCUAACUAUUUUGAAUAGUUGGAGGGAAUUAAGAGCCGUUACAACCAUUAAUUCAAACAGUAAAUGCAAUUGUAGAGCCUUAUAUUCUAAUACUUAAUCAUUGAGUGUCAAUAUCCUACUUUAAAAUAUAUGAUCGUUAGACUCUUGUGUAUUGGACCCUAAAAUCAUGUUCUGAUACCUCAAGGUUGGGGUCCGAUACAUUUGGUUGCCCAAAAAUGCUCAUUGACUUUGUAUUGGACCAUUGGGGGAUAAGUUUUGUGAUAACAUGAAAUGCUAACUUGAUGAUGUAAAAGCAUUUUGGUAUCUGAUAUCAUCAAAUAUUUAAAAAGAAAAUAUAGAUAUUUUAAAUAAAUGAAAUAUCGGGCUGUCAGUAAAAUAUUUUAAAUGAAAAAACAUAACUAAAAUAAAAAAAAAUACAAACACAUUAUAAAAUAGCAUAAAAGGUAGUAUAGAGCCAAAUUGCAAUAAUGACACACUAGAAAUGCAAUAAUAUCUGUACCAUAAAAAAUGAGUUCAUCAAUUCUUAAUGGACUUAUAAAAUCAGUUUUUCAAACAAAAAUAUUUUGGAUUUUGCGAAUUGUUUUGUUUGAGUGAAAACAAUAGAAAUAACAUUUCUUGGUCGUUUCACAUUCAUCAAGAAAAUAAGUAAUCUUAAUAAAAUUUUCUCCAAUUUUUUACACAACAGAAGCUCCAAAUCCGAUGAACUGCUAUUGUAGUCUCUACCACAAAAGGAUCUCUCAUGCAUCGAUCAAGUUGCAUGCAAGAGAUCAUAACUUCCGCAUUGGAGUUCCCGAUGAUGAUGGGAGGGGGGACUAAGAUAAUUAAAUAUUCAAAAAAUAUAUAUUAUAAAAAUCUCCAACACGCAUUAAAAAUAAAAAUAUAUAUAUAUGAAAAAAAUAAUCCAACUGAGAUGAAGAAAUUUAAAAUAAAUACAAAAGAAUCAUGUAUACAAAAUUCGAAUAUAUGUGUGUGUGUAAAAUUUGGAAACAAAAAUUGAACGGCGGUACAGUGCAUGAAUAUAGCAAGCUUUUGUAAAUUGGCAGAAAAUAUCAUCUCACCUUGAAGAGUCUAGCUAAUGCCCGUUAAGUUAAGCGAUGGAAGGUAGGCAUUUCUAUUCCAAUUCUAGCACUCAACAAAACAUGAAAUGGAAGUCUAGGCAACAUAGACAAAAUGAAACCCUAAACCAAUUCUUCCAAAUGCGUAAAUCUGUAAAUGAGAGUUGAGCAAGUGGGCCUGGAGAUGCUAGCGAAAACUUAUGCUUGACACAUCCACCUCUUCUCUUCUAAUUCCAAGGAGGACUGCAGAGGAAAAGCACAUGCAAUGCAAGUCAAUUAUUUGUUUUGAUUCCAUCUUUGUUGAAGAAGCUUCGAUAUAAGAGCUUUGACGUUCACUCUUUCAUGAUUUGAAAUCCUCUGAGAUCCUCCAAAUCAAACAAAGUCAAAAGGAAGAAUGAUAAAAAGUACUGAAAUUCAACUGCGGGCUGUGGUCAAGAUUUAAGAAUUGACUCAUGGCCUUGGGUUGAUGCUGGAAUCCGAAUAACAAUAUGAUGCAAAGGGAAAGCAGGAAAAGGAUAGAAGAGGCAUUCCAACGUUCAUUAUGCUUUCCAUGGACCAGAUAAUCAGAUAUUGCUUUUAAGAUUUGGUUCUACGUUGUCGCCCUUCUAGGGGUUAACCCAAAAGUCAAAACAAUUAUAUCCACUAACACUGCGCUAGUGAGAGAACCGGAGAAGCUAGCACAGUAUCCUUGAUUGGAGAUAAAUAUUUUAAAGCAAAAAGAGCGGAAAGGACACAGAAUGGCGUAAUCCUCAUUUCCAAUAAACCUUUGGGAACGGCCAAGAGUCAGAGUGGUGAACAUGCAAUAAUAAACAAUAAGGAAAUGUGGGCGGUGAUUUAAGUGUCUGUAUGUACAGUCUAGUAAUAGUACGAGUAUUUCUUGGAGUUUGAAAAUUCGAUCAUCAUCAAAAAGUGAGCAGCUAUGACUGAAAAGAUGGGUGGCAUAGUCUGAGCCAUGCAAAAAGCGGAAUAUAUUCCAAGACACGAUGAUUAUGAUGAUCCGAAUCGAAUGUCCAGUGCCUCCUCCUCAGCCAUUGGUUAUAAAUAGUUCCCCCCAGCAUUGCUUAUUAGCAUCCCAUUGGAGAAAUCGAGGAGAUUUAUUUCACAAUCUCACGAGGAAGAGAGGUCCCACAUGAGGACUGGAGCUAGUCCCUGUAUUGUAGCCAAGGAUGACUUGCCUGUGGCCUGGCAAGAGCAAGCAGCAGUUUGAAAACUGAAAUGGAAUGCGGUGGCUCCAUCGCUUCCCAACGGGAUUUUGAUGAAAGGUAAAAGUAAGUCUUUAGUGGCACACAGGCAGUCUCCUUGGCUAACGAAACAGGCUCUUGUCAUCUCAUGCUGGACUUUCUCUUCUUCCUCACCUGGAAAUGGAGACUCUUAGGUCUGAACUGGAUAUAAGCUACCAAAACGAAAUGGUGGUAGAGGUAAAUGAAGUUUCCGCAUUUAUAUAUACUAGUCACUUUCAUCACUACAUACGUAAAGGAAUUGCUUCAUAACGCUUUUAAAUAGACAGUCAUAUUGAUGCUACUUCAUUUACAAAAAGUAGCACAAAGCCUAUAAGAAUACCCUUGUCUCAUAACAAGGGCGAAGGCUAGGAAUCAUCUUUAGGCUCAAUCUAAUAUAUAAAGCUAAGCAACAAUAAACAAAAUUAAAAUAUAAUAUUAUUAAAAUUUGCUUACAGGGUAUAAAAUUAAUGGAUUUUUUUUUUCAGUAUAGUUUAUAGUGCAUAAAUAUAAAAGAUUUAAAAGGCCGAAUCGAAUAAUGCCCUUAAAAAAGGGUAAGUUAAUAGGUUUAGAAAAAGUAAGAAAUGUUAAAAUGCACAUUGUGGUGAUUACAUAUUUUUAAUUGGUUCUGUUAUUAGUUCAAAAUGGAAAUUAUUAAUAUAAAACGAUACGAUACUUUCGAUAAGAUGAAUUUAAUGGUAGUUAAUAAAAUAAUUAACCAUGUUAAAAUAUAGAUUUUAAAAAAUUAUAAUGUGAGGCUUGAAAGUAGUAUUAAAUAAAUCAUAAUUUAUGUAUUUUGAAAUAAAAUUAUUAUUGUAAUAACAAGGAUCUCACACAAAUCAUACUCCCCUAUUUCGUGUAUGAAAUACAUUUUGUUAUGGAAAUUUAUAAACAUGUUUUUAAAUGGAACGACUUUUCUCCAGGUAGCCUACUAAUCUAGAAUUUGGAAGAAUAUUACAUAUGUUUAUUAUGUUCUAACAUAUAUUGUAUAGUUCAAACCCAAGGGGCUAUUCGUCAAUUAUGUUUCUGUUAGACUACAGACGCAUCAAUUAUAUUAUAUUAUUUACAAAAAGAGAAAAAUAUCAAUAAUAUUUCAUUCAUUUUAGAUUGCAUGUAGCUUUUUCUGACUUGUAACAUUAAAUUCAGCUAUGGAUAGAUUAUAUGUAUCCAAAAAAAUACACAACAGGCUGUUGCGGCUGGCAACAGAGUCGAGUGGAAAGCUUUUAUUCAAAACACGGUUGCUUGUAUAGACAUCAAAUCAGAACUCAGAAGCAAAAUGGGUUUUAGUAGACUUGGUUAUCAUGCAGGCAGUGCAAAACUCUUUUGCAUCCACUGGGGCAAAUCCACCACCAGACAGGGAUCUGAUUUCUCAAAAUCAGCAAUCUGAAUCAAAAACAAUGGAAUGGGUGAAAUUACCGAAAGAAAACAAUUAAGAGUGGAUAUCAAAGUAAAACAAGACUCGCCUUCUCAUUGCAGUUUGGGCAAUAAUGAUAUUUAUGCCAAAGACAGUCCAUGGAAGGGCAAAGGAAGCAGAUUCCAAGCAUAAAGGGCAUCAUGCAUCCAACCACUGCUGCCAAACUAGGCUUAGAUCUGAAUUUCACAUUAAAUUUUAUAGAGUAAUAUUAUCAUAUUGUAUAUGUCCAGGCCACGGGCUAACAGAAAAACAAGCCAUUUUCAUUGCUUGGUCAUGUUUAUUAAACAAGCCAUUCUUAAUUGUACCCACUGCCACAAAUAAACUAAAAUUAGGAACUACAGAGCAUCUACAUGUUUUAUUAUAAAAUAAACUACAAUUGAUUCAUUCUAUCUAUCUAUAUAAUGCUGUUAUUGAAUUUGACGUUAAAAAUUAAAAAUACAAACUCGCAUAUAAGAAAAACAAACCACAAAUUUCAGAAGUCAGGCAGGACCUAGAGUCGACUCUGGUCAUUACAAUCCCACACAACUUCCUCAAAUAGAUGAUCGGGAACUAGAGAAAACGGAUCUCAUAUAAUAAGGGAAUGAAAAAGAAAGAGGAAAUACCUGACGAGGGUGAGACCGGAAUUACCACAGUAAGGGCAAUUGAAAGGAGCGGGAGUAUCCCGAUACAUGGUUUGCUGAAUCGGAAUUCCCUUUGGAUCGCCGUAUAUGGCGUUGGCUGGUAUCCUCCCCUGUUGGUAUCCAUCCAUCCGUGGCCCUGCAUAGUAUGGGACUCCUAGCACCGGCUGCUCCGUCUUCGACAUAUUUCUUAUCUCUCCGAUAAUAUGAUGCUUUGUCAACUAAUGCAAGCUAUGAAUGUAGAAUUAUAUCUGAGUCAGCGAGGGGUAUUUUAUAAUGACUCAAACGAAACGUCUAGAGGCUGCGACCGCUGUUGGUUUAAUUCAUUGACUUUUAUAAAAAUUAAUUCUUAUAUUUUCGCGUUAUGUUACCGAAAUGAAGAUACCGGGAAGGUGCGCCAAGUUCUGUUUGUGAAUGAAACGCAAAAUUCCAAACCACCCUAUUCAACCCAAUAUUUAUACCGCUAAACUCCCUAAUUUUUAUUUAAAAUUACAUUUCACUUAUCUAUUUUUUUUUAAAAUUUACAUAAUAAUCACUAUUGUUAUCAAAUUGUUACAUUUUUCUCACCUAGCUGUUAACUUCUGUUAAAAAAAUCAGUUUGAUAUUUUUAAUUUAUUUUAACAAUAAUUAUAAAAAUAUAUUUAAAAUAAAUAAAAAAUCAUUUGUAGUUAAGAAAAACCAAAAAUUUUGCAAUUAAUUUUUUCGCAGCCAAUCUUAUAAAAAAUUAGUCUUAGACCUUUAAAAGAAACAUUAAAUACACAUUCAUUUUGAUCCUACUCUUUUCUUAUUUACUUUGUUGUUUUACACUAUCUUCAUUUUCAUCUCUCUUUGCCUUUUUUUUUUUUCUUUUUUCAUGCAAAUUUGUGUCGAGAAGAAAUGAAAGAUAUGAAGAAGAAGAGUACUCUGAAUUAUAAAUUUAAAAAUUCUAAAAUUAAAAGUUAUUAAAAAACCCAAUUAAUGGAAGUAGGGUACUUUGUAAUAAAUUUCCUACCCUGCAUAAAACUAAAGUUAGCUGAAUGUUGAAACUUUAUCAAUGGCUUCUCAAGGUUUCAUUCUUUCCACUGUGAAGAAGAAAAAAGAAAAAUGGAUGAUGACUCUUAAAUUUUAACUUAAUAUAGUUAGUUUAUUAAUUAAUUAAAUUAAUCAUAAUUUAUUAACAUCAACCUUAAUUAACCAUUUUGAUGGAUGAUAGUUUUUUAUCACCACCGUCCACUAUAUUUAAAAAGGUCAAAUUGCUAAAUUGAUAUCUAUCACUUAAUUACAAUUUUAUAGUGGUUAAUUUUUACCACUUUUAUAAUUUAAUUUUUGUACCUUAUUUAGUCACUAAUUUAGUAAAAUCACUUAUCCAAAAUUCAAUUCAUCUAUAUAAUCACUCUAUAAAUAUUGAAUUAAAAAAUUCUCAAAAUCAGUUUAUGAAAACGAGAUCUCAAUACAUCAUUUUCCAAAACUACUUAUUUUCAGUACAUAUCACUUGUACCUUGACUAAUUAACAAAAAUUAUCAUAUUAAAAAUCAAUAAAACACUAAAAAAACUCAUAAAUAUUAUUAAAUAAUAUUUACUAAUUCACCAUGGGAAUUAUAUAAUUCCCAAAUCACUCAAAAACAAGUUAUUACAACUUUUUUUUUUUAAAUCUGGCUCCCUGUAAGAUUAAAAUACUAAACUGGAGAAUUUCUCAAAAUUUUCUUCCUACUUCAUCUAAUCUACUUUACAGAAGGUUAGUAGAGUCUAGAUUAUGCCCUAGAUGCUCUGGUGAGGUAGAAACUUUGGAGUAAGUUUUCCGAGACUGCCCGCGUACAAAGGUGAGAUGGGAGCAAUUAAAUUUCUGUUGGCCAAUAUCUGCGUUAGAAUCAAACUACAGAGAAUGGGCGAUAUUCAUAUUUGAGCACAAUUCUUUGAGGCAAUGUCGAUUGUUUUCAUGUACAAUAUAGGCGACUUGGAUAUCGAGAAACAAAUUAAUCGGUAAAGGAGUGCAAAAAUCAUCUUAUUCCACAGCAAGUUUAUCUUGGCGAAUUGGAGGUUCUAAAUUAGAAGUUACAUGUCCAGAAAGGGAAACUGGUAUGAUGGAAGUCGCUGGAAAGCCCGCUCAUCAAAAUCAACUUUGAUGUUGUGUUCAACAAACAUAGGAAAAAAUCAUGUGCAUGUAUAGUAAUUAGAGAUUCAAAUUAACGAGGUAGUACUGGGUUCAAAAACUAGCUUGCAUGAUAACAUACCUACUGCAUCCGCAACUGAGGCGACUGCAUGUCUUGAAGCAGUCUAGAUGGUUUAGAUCUAGGGUUUUCGAUGGUGAUGAUGGAAGGAGACGCUUUGUCGGUGGUGAGGGAGCUGCAGAAAGAGAAGGAAGAAAGAUUAGAUAUCGGUGCCUAUAUAUCUGAUUAUAGAUCUAUCAGUGUAGGAUACCAAAAGUGUUUUUUCAUACAUGCACCGAGACAGCCUAAUUGGUUGUGUUUUACAAGUAUGCUCUCUUUUUACCCUUUAUUUUUGUGGGGGGUGGAACAGCAAGAGUGGUCCUUCCCUCUUACAUUUGUUUUAAAAUGUUUAAAUCAUCUGUUUCAUUUUCCUUAAAUAAAGUCCACAUAUUUUUAACUCUUUUGGAAAAUAAGGGUUAUUUUAAAAUCAUAUUAUUUACUUUUUUUUAAUUAUCAUUUACUUUUAUAGUAGCAUUGUCUUACAUGUGUGUGCUUAUUUUUGUUAAUUUUCGUUCAGUAUUUUUUGUUGAAAAAUAAUUUAGACACAAAAUUAGAUAUAUAUUGUGUUAUAUAUCAAGUUACUAAUACAAAUUUAAAGUAAUUACAAAAGUAUAAAUUUUGCUUUGAAUUUUAAUUUUCAUGGAUAGCAGUAAAUUUAACUUCCCAUCCAAAUAUUACAAUAAAUUUUUUGUUAUAUUUUUAUCCUACAUUUUGGAGAGCUAUGAAAUUUGUUUAUUAUGGAUAUUAGUUUCCAAUUAAAAUAUAUGAACAAUUAAAUUUUCAUUUUUAAAAAAAAUUGUCUUUACCUUGAUGGCAUAGUUGUAAUGAUUUGUAGGGACAUUCUAUUAAUUGGGAUAGUGUUCUUUUUUUUUGUCAAGUAAUCCGGAAAAUAUUGUCUGAUAUUUUAUAAUAAUAAUUUGGAUUAAUUCCUUUUACUUAAAGAAAAUGGAACCCCAUAAUUUUGUUAUGAAAAGUAAAAAGUGUGGAAAUUAAAAUUCUGGAAACAUCAAUCUUGAUAUCUAUUAGACCAAAAAAAUAUCAAAUCAACUCGUCAAACCCCUCAAUCUACGUGUUCAUAUUCCUACUAAUAACAACAUCUGAAUUUUAAAAAAUAACAUCCACACAUAUAGUCUGCCCCUAGGCUAGGCUGGAUUCAGGGUAGCGGCUUGGUAUCUUGCAGACUGUUCAAAAGAUGAAACGAUGCUUUCUCAAAAUUAACAAAUCCCAUGAACCAGAAGUCAUGCCCAUCCACCGUAACUACCUGAAUAUAGCUCUCCACUGGAUUCUCUUUCAUCACCACCGGAUUAACACUGCCCACAUUCGCCAAAGGUAUCAUCACCUGUCCUCAUUAAUGAAUGCAAAAUAUAACUAAAUUAAUGCGCAUUUCAUCAUAUCAUUAAUCUUGUUAAAUAGUUUAUAUUAUUACCUUGUAGUAGCUCCAAGUCUCCUGACCAGAAGGAGCAGUGAAAGAUAAGGGCCGAUCACUGCAGAAGGCUACCCGAGCCGUUGAUAAAUAGAGCGUACCCGCAACAGGGCCUGUUGUUGUGGAGAGAUAACAGGCGAAUGUCUUCUUUAACCUUUCAUCCGGAUCAGUUGCAAAAAUCUGCUUGAACAGAGACUCAAAUCCACCCUCUGUUAUAGCUUUGGCUGUCAGGUUUAAUUUACCCCAUGCUGCUUCCGAUACAGACGGUCCAGUUUUAACUGUAAUUUCAUAUAUCCAGUCCACACAUAUUAGGACUAUGAUAUGAAGGAGCUAGCUAUAAUUUAAUGAACUUACGGUUGUGCCAGAUGUUGCGUGCUAUAGACUCGGUCUUCCUACUCCAGGUAUUGAACAUGUUAAUCACAGGUUCAAAAGGAUUAUGGCUUGGUCUUUCUGCAGGGGAAUAAACGACAUAGGGCAGCUCAUAGAUUUGUUGGUGAUCACUAGCAUUCCAUAAAGCCGCCUUCUGGUUGUCUGGGUGGGCACUAGGAGCUGCAGGGGCUCCCAUGACGUGCGUGCCCCAUUUCUUAAUAUCUUCUUCCGAUGGGGGUGCUUCUACUAUGGGUUCCUGGGAUCCUUCUACUUUAGUGUUUUCUUGAGUAGGUGUUGAUGACAUGGUGUCUUUGAACUGAUAGGAUAAUUAUUUUGGUGGAUUAAUAUUUAUGAAAUGGAUGAUUUGCUUAGGGGGUUGAGUGGAGAAUUCACGAAAUUUAGGUAUUUAAGUGUGUUUUAUUUCCUUUGCAUCCAAGUAAGUAUUCUCUAGAAAAGUGAAAUUGUAGAUUAGAAAUUCAGCUUUGGUUUCUUGACCGGGUGUUAUUAGGAAGUUUCCAGUUUCGUCGGUUGUCUUUCUAUCAAAUGAUGUCCACCCUAAGGCGUGUGAGGAUUAAAUUUAGCCACUUGUUAUGUACGUGUGGCAGAGAGAGUGACAUCUUUCUCUCUAACAUACAAGGACACAAUCAUCUACAUACCUAAAUUUAUGUUUAUCUAUUAGUUAAAAAUUUUGAUAUAAAAAAUAGAUGUGCUAUUUUUAAAUUAGGGUUAUUAUUUAAAUAGAAUUUUAAGUAUAAAAUCUAAAAAAUUGUGAUAAUUAUGAGUAUAAUUUAAAUUACAGCUAUUAGUUAAAAAAUUAACAUAAAAAAUUUGUGUUAAUUUUAUUGAUGGAAAUAAAGGUAUCACUUGAAUAAAAUUCUAGGCAUUUUAAUUAUCAAUCAAGUAAUAUCUAAGAAAAAUACCAAUAAAAAGAAAUGGGUUAAUAUUAACAAACUAGAAUUAUAUAUAAAAAAGAUGGAGCAUUAAGCAAUGGUUCUUUGAAGAAAGAAUAUAGGAUCAUAUUCAAAUAAUAAUGAUACCAGAGAGAAAUGGAAAAUUAUUGUAAUUGAUAAUGAGAUAAUAUAAUUGUUGAGUGUUUUUGUUGUGUGUCUUCUUGACGAGGGGAAUCGGGUAUUUAUAAGAUAUAAUUACUGUUGAUCGAAAUGACGUCCUAGGUUGCUCUAUGCACGCCAAUAUAUAUACUGCUCUAGACUUAACACGUAUUUAUCGUACCAUGCAAACUUAGGUCGCGAGCUCUCUCUGCGAGCCCUUAAUGUCUUUGCCUUGUGGGGCCCAAGUUCCUUUGCAUGGAUAGUUUGUUCGGGGUUAUGUCCGAGUUUUAGGUCAGUAACAGGAAAUACUAUAACAAUAAUAUUAUGUUUUGUAAAUAUCUUUUUAUAUGUUGUUUAUAUUAUGUGAAACAAGUACUUAUAAAUGUGUUGGGCCGAGCUGAUGAUCUUUAAAAAUUAAAGCCUAAACUCAACCUAUAUUUUAAAAUGAAAUUUUUUUUUCUGUUCAAAGUCAUUUCUCAGCCCUCUUACUUUUAUCCAAACCCUCAUAUAUUCUAUACGUUUCAUAAAUAGAUCUAACAGUAUUUAUACCUCUAACUGGAUCAACACGUGGGAGCAGGAAUCGAUGCCACACAUACCGUAAGUUGGAAUGAUCAGAAGUCAUACAGGUAUUAGAUAUAACUUAAACAUAUCAAUUACCAACCUUUUCGUUUGUGUCAACAAAAAGGAUAUCUACUACGAUAAAUAAAAUCAACAAUGUUCAUUUUGUCUGUUUUCCAUGCGAAUGCCAUCUUCUUUAGUUAUUGAAACAAAAUACUCUACUUUCUACUUCUUUUUCUAUUGAUUUACGUAGUUAAUUAUUUAUCUUUCUAAAUUAUGGAGUUAAAUUUUAAAGGUUAUAAUUUAUUUAAAGUAUUUGUAUUCGUAUAUUUAGAAUUUAAUCUUCAUAUUCUUAUAUCUAGGAAUUUAGUUCAUUUACAUUUCAGAUUUAAAAUUUAAAUCUAUUUGUUAACAUUGUUAAAAUUAUUUUGUUAAAUUUUCUAGUUUGAUAUUUUGAAAUUAAAAAAAAACUUCACUCAAUACCGAAUUGUGUCAAAAUUUAAAGUAUAUAGAGUAAAUUGAAAUUUAAUCAUUCUUAUUGUUGAGGGGAGUUGGUCUCAUACCCUGAACGGGGUUUGUCUCCUGUACUCCAAGGAAAGCCCAAUUGGGUUCACGGCAAGCUCAAAAGUAGAAAAACAUAUCAGGUCAAGCUAUAUUGAUAGUGGAAUUAAGAGAUCGAAGCACAAAAAUUCUAAAGAUUUGGGAGUAACCUCAUAAUUUUGUAAGGUUUUUUUGAGAAAUCUAAUCCUACAAAAGUGAAGAGGAGACUUUGAGCUUUACCUUGGUGAUUUUGGAUUGGUAGUCUAAUGCCGAAGAAGACAUUGGAUGAUCAUAGUAGCGACGGUGAGAAGUGGUGACUAUGGGUAAGGAGAAAAACAAAGAAAAUAAGAAAAAGGAUGAAGUAUCCCUCGACAUCGUUCAUUGACAGGACAACAUUCACCAAUAGUGGUUUGACAAAGAAAGUGAUAACAUUUUUAAGAGAGGCGGUGGCUAAGAUUUUGAGUUAGGAGGGAAAAGAUGAAAAAAAUAAGAAAAAAAAAGAGAAAAAAGAAAAAUUAAAGAAAUAAAAAAGAAAUUAGAAUAUUUCGUUCAAUUUUAACGGUGGAGUGAUUAAUGUAGCACUGAAAAAAUUUAUAAAAUAAAAAGUUUAAAAGAUAUAUUCUCAUAUAAAUAUGAGAUAGAUGUAAAGGAAUUUAAAAGAUGAGAUAUAUUCUUAGGUAAUUAGAAAAAUAAAAAAUCAGAGUGGCAUACAUCACUCGCGGUUCCCUUUGUUUUUUCUUUGUUUGUAAUAUUGGGGAACAAGUUUGGAGGAGGAGUUGUAUUCUUUAACUAAGGGAACCUUCCUACUAAAUUUCCGCUUCUUUCACUACUUGUUAUAUCCUGAGCGCAGUGGAGUCUAAAUUUGAAACAAUGAGUUAUAACCAUCAGCAUGUUUCUCAUCAGCCCCUAACCCCCUCAGGUUGCUGCUCUUCCCACUUGCUUCCAUUCUUCUUUCUUUUCUUAAUAUUAUAUGUUUUGGUUAUUUUGUUGGUUCAAUCGAAUGUUUUAGUGAUACAGGGCGCCUAAUUGCUCCUUGUUUUACUACUGGAACAACUCAACAAAGUUUAUAUCAACAUAUAUCUCUCUAAAUAUUCAUAGUGAUUGUUAAUGAGAAUAUUCAACUGACUGCUAUAGUGCAAAACAGGGCCCUGUCCUCCACCAGGGCCAGACUUCCCUCCACCGCCAACUCCAGUUGGAUAUACCCGUACUCAUCAUUCGCCCUCACCACCACAACCAGGCUAUCAAGGUUACUGUUAUGAGGGCUACCCUUCAUCAUCACCUGGGCUGCUUCCUCCACGCCUGCCUCCUAGGAAUGAUUACACUCACAAUGGUUGCACUUCCUUCCUGACGGGGUGGUAUGGAAUCUCUAUCUCUGCUUUUUUAGAUGAAUGAAGCAAUGCAAUUUCCAUUGAGAUGUUUAUGUCUUUAUGUGAUCUCAUCUGUUAUGCUAGAUAACGAUGAAAUCUUAUAAUCGGAGUUUGUAUUUGCAGUUUGGCUACUCUUUGUUGCUGCUGCUUAUUGGAGGACUGCGUCUUUUAACCAUUAUCUGUCUGGAUUGAUAAUUUUAGGUUACGAUUAUUGUCAACCGGUGGAAUGGAUUCUACUCUGAAACGCUUUUAUAUAAUUUUGGUAAUGCUUUGGUGAAUGGAUUUGUUUUGGUCGUGAAAAGCUUACGAGUAUAACCUAUAAAGGCUGGUAGAGAAGAGAACCUAGAAACCAGUUCUUUAUACUAUAUCAUGGAUAUUUAAAAUAAUUUUGAAUAAUUAUACAUAAAAUAUAAAUAUUUUUAGAAGGUUAUUAGCCUCAAUUUUACAUUUUCCAAUCAGCUAAAUGAACACCAAAAACACAAUUAAAUAGAAGAACUUAUUUAUCGCAUAAAUUAUCAAUUAUAUGCCAUCGCCAACCUCAUCAAAUAUCAUUCUAAAAAGCAUUUAGAACAACUAAAACCAUGAGAAGAUAUUGAUUUGGGGUGGGGAUUAGUGUUUUUGAUUUUACAAAAAUGUUGGGCCUAGAGGAUCUUGAAACUAUUGACUCAACUCAGAUUCAUUGAAAAGAUGAAAUAACAAGUUCAUUCAUCUUCUCCACUUUUCAGUUUCCCUUGAAGAUGUUGUAGCCACUUUCUUGGUAAUUAUCACGAGCUCAUCCUUGAUCAUAUAACAAGAUAUACAGAAAAUUAUUACUGAUCAAUUGAAGGUAUUGGUGACAUUGUCCAAGUAAAAGUAAAAUGCUAGCAACAUAAUGAUGAUUUUACAUCUCGACAUUGCAAUUGAGUUCUACAAUAUUGAGAUGCUCAAAGUCCGAUGAGGAAAAUUGGUGAUGUCAAAACCUUAUGAAGCAUUUCAAAGCAGGGGGUGGGUGUGCUUGAUAUCUUUCGAAAUCUUUUUUUUUUUUUAAGGUCUACUUUUAUUUCUAAAAAAAUAAAAAUGGGAGUCGCCACCGAUCUUUUUUAUUAGAUGUGAUCGAGUCACAUCGUAAUUUGAUCGUUUGAAUGUUUUAAUAAGAUGUUCAAUUUAUUAAAACAAUAUUUUUUUGAUCUAUAAAAAUUUAGAAAACGGGUUCGUGAGUCGGUUACAUAUGAGAAAGAAUUAGUACUCUCGUAACGCCCAAAAUUGGUACCUAAUUGAUUAAUUCAUAUCUUAGCAUCGAAAGUUGAAAAUUUGAAAAUAGUUUAAAAAUAGGAUCCUUUUUGUAUUAAUGUUAAUUUUAUUUAAAAAAAUAUUAAAUAAAUUGAAAUGAAUAUUAAAGACCCUCUUAUCUCGAAAUAACUAAAUGUCACAUCUCAUAAGUUAGGACACGACAUCUUGAAUCCUUGAGAAUAUCAAAACCCCAUAAGUUAGGAUACAACUUCUCGAAUCUCCAAAUAUGAAACUUUGCCUAUUUUUAAAUUUUCCAUUUUUGAAAUGUAACAAGUGUAAUAUUUGAAACGAUGAAUACUUAUCUUAUUUAGAGUAUAGUAUAAAAACAACUAAUUAUAUCUAAACAUAAUGUAUGAUGUAGUAAUGAUGAAUCAAUAUAAAAUGGCUAUAUAGAUAGAAUAUUGGAAUGAUAAAAUAUAAAUAAAUAAAGGUAUACUUUAAUAAUAAUAUCAAUUUUAAAUAUUUAAAAAGUGUAAGAAUAACAAAUAAAUAAUAAAUAGAUAAAACAAAUUUAAAUAAUAUCAAAUUUAAAUAUCUAAAAGGUAAAAGAAUAACAAAUAAAUAAAUAAAUAGAUAAAACAAAUAUUAAUAAUACCAAAUUUAAAUAUUUAAAAAGUAAAAGAAUAAUAAAUAAAUAAAUAAAUGGAUAAUAUAGAUAUAAAUAAUAUCAAAUUUUAAAUAUUUAAAAAGUGAAAGAAUAAUGAAUAAAUAAAUAAAUAGAUAAAACAAAUAUAGAUAAUAUCAAAUUUUAAAUAUUUAAAAAGUAAGAGAAUAAGGAAUAAAUAAAUAAAUAGUUAAAACGAAUAUAGAUAAUGUCAAAUUUAAAUAUUUAAUAGUAAAAGAAUAACAAAUAAAUAAAUAAAUAGAUAAAACAACUCAUAAAAGGAUGAAAUUAAUUGAAUGAAGGACUGAAUUGAAAUUUAAACGAAAUUAAUAGUAUAAAUCAUAAUAAAUUAAAUAAUAAAACAAAAUAAAGGACUAAAAUUAAACACGCAAAAAAAGGUAGGGAACAACUAGAAAAUUAUUCCCAGGCCCACAAAGCGCAUUGUUUCAAGGGGGAUCAAAACAGAAAAAGACAAAAUUAAAUGGUGAAAUUUUAAAAAAGAAAAAAAAAUAGGGCUGGAUUGAAACAAGCAGCAAAAGUGGAAGGACAAAAAAAAAAUAGACCCCCAUGUCAAAAACACGCGGAUCCUUUGCGGUUCGGGUCGGGUCGUGGGUCCUGAUUCAAAACGACGUCGUUUUGGCAACUGAUGCUUAAGUCCAAAACGGCGCCAUUUUGAUCCCUAUAUAUAUAUAUAAACAAUUCUCCCUUCAUUUUUUUCAAAAAUUUCUAGAACUCUUUUGGACUCUUUCACCCUCUCAUUUUCUCCGGUCAUGGUUCCGACUGUCAGUCACUGGUCCUGAUUCAAAAUGACGUCGUUUUGGCAACUGAUGCUUAAGUCCAAAACGGUGUCAUUUUGAUCCCUAUAUAUAUAUAAACAAUUCUCCCUUCAUUUUUUUCAAAAAUUUCUGAGAACUCUUUUAGACUCUCUCACCCUCUCCUUUUCUCCGGUCAUGGUUCCGACCGUCGGCCACUAUAGCACUGUCCACGGUGGCUAGAGAAUACAAAAAAGGUCUCUUUGACCAUUUGGCUCCCCCGACCCCAAUCUGAGAUUAAAAUGCUGAAAGCCUUCUAGGAAAUCGAAAAAAAUCAAAGGAACUCUUUGGUUCCGUCUUCUCCGACCACAUGAAAGGUAAAAAUUUUCGUAUUUUUGAAUAUAUAUGUCUGUAUGUAUACUAUAUUCAAAAUAAACGUGAAAAAAAAAUGAAAAUAUACCUAUGUAAGAAAUUAUAGUCUCUCUUCUUUUUUUAUUGUUUUUUGUAUUUAUCUCUAUUCUCAAAAAUUACAUUGAUAAUGGCUUUUAUAGCCAAUAUUACACUGCUUAUUUCACUGUUUGUUGCUACUGUUUGCUUUCCUUUCUGCUACUGUUUUUGUUCUGUUUCUUUGUUAUUGUUUCUGUCCUUUUUGCAGGUUUGCUCGGUCAACGAAGGGGAGAAAGGCAAGCCUUUUGCCAUUUUGGUGAAAUGGUGGCAGACAUGGUGCAUCAGGCCUCGGGAAACGUGCACGCUACAGAAGCACGAAGGGGGCGGCGCAGCUAGGUGACUAGUUAGGGUUUCAGUUCUACUGAAAAUGUUUAAGUUUGUGGGCCAAUUGUGCCAUAGGGUUUUUUUAAUUUUUUGGUUGUUUGUAAAUGCAAUUUUAGGCCUGUAAUAGACUCUGGACUUAUUGUUAUUUUUUAUUUUAUUACUUAGUUUAUUUUUUUAUAGGCUUGGGCUAAUUUGAGCAUUUACAAUAUCAAUCAAUGGAAACAACCAUUGUCACUCACAACCGAUACACAUAUACUGGUUUCAAGAAAACCUACUGUAGCAAAUAUGGACAUCUAAAAGAAAAAGGAAUUCAAGACGCACGAGAUCAUGGAAGACUUGUUUAUCAUCCAAUUAAAGUACUAUGCUACCAAGGAAAGAAUAUUAAAGCAGAGUCGUAUGCCAUUAGUUAUUUAUCAUUUACUAUUCAUAUUAAGUACGGUUGUUUGAAUUAGACUGGAUUAGCCGAUCAGAUUGGUUGGACUAAGAAUUGGUAGGGAUGUCGGUCCAAAGAGAGGUACUAGGUCGGUUGACUCGCGAUUCGGUACAGACCAAUUGAACCAGACUAAAAAAUCGGUCGAAUCAUUUUUUUAGUUUUUUUAUUUUAUUUUUAUGAAUUUUUUAUAAUUUAUUUAAUCAAACCAGUCAAACUGAUAAAUUGGCGACCUGACCGAUCUAAUCACUAAUCUAGUUCUGAAAACCUUGAUGUUAAGAGUGUUAAGUUUGAUUUUAAUUUUUUAAAACUUAUAUUUUAAAUAAAUUAUCAUUUUAUUUUUGUCAAAAAUGAAAUACCAAGUUUUAUCCAAAACAAUAUAAAAUAUUAUAUUAUAAAAAUUAUAAAAUAAAUAAUUUUUAUUUACUAUUAUCUAACAAUGUAAUUAUAUUUCAAGUUAAUUGCAUCAAAUGUCUUCAAACUAUGACUUCCAUUAUAAAUUGGUCCUCAAACUUUAAAAUAUUCUAAUUAUAUCCUUAAACUAUCGAUGUUGUAUCAAUAAGGUACUUUUGUUACUAAAAUCAUUAAUUUAAAUGUUAAAUGAGACAUCAGAUCUUAUCUGACAUAAUUUAAAAUGAAACUUCUAAAGAAAAAUAAAUGAUGUAAACAUCUUAGUUUAAGGUUUUUCGAAACUUUUACAAAAAUUAUCAUUCACUUUUUUUUCGGUUUUACUUUAUUUUUAGUUCUUAAUUUUAAAAGGUAUGCACCGUUUUAAAAUUUUAAUUUUAAAUUAUGUCAUAUAAGAUUGUACAUAUCAUUUAAUGAAAAAAUUGACACUUUCAGUGAUGGAAGGGUCUGAUUGAUUUAACAUCGAUAAUUUAAGAUGUAAUUAAAGCAUUUUGAAAUUUAGAGAUCAAUCUAAAAGACGGUCAUAGUUUGUGGGUAUCUAAUGAAAUUAACUCUUAUAUUUCACCAGUUAAUUUUUACUAAUAUAUCAAAACAAUGAAAAUAUAUUUUUCUUAUUUUUCUUUUUCAUUUUCUAAAAAUUAUUUUCUACUUUCUCAACCAAACACAAUUAUUUGAGUUGUUUUCAUUCUCAAGAGAAUAAAAAUGAAAUAACCUCUAAUUUUUUAAACCAAACAGUAAGGGUUUGGUUAGUUUCUUAAAAAAUAUUUUUUCAUUUAUAAAUUAAAUAACACAUUUGAAUCUUAAUAAUAUUAAUAUUAAUAUUAAUAUUAAUAAUUUGUUUUCAAAAAUUAAACAUGAAAAUCAUGUUUGGUUUAUAUUUUUUAUAUAAACAAAACAUGAUAAAUAAAAUAAAAUAAUUCAUAAAAUUAUAUGAAUUCAAAUAACGGUAAUAAAUUUGAUAUUUAAAAACUGUUGAAAAAAAAAGUAUAUUUUUGUGUUUAUAUAAAUUUAAUCUAAGGUUGAUCUCAUUAAUUUAAAGUUCAAAACAAUGAAAGUAUUUUCUUUAUUUCCUAAUAUUCACAUAUUUUAUUUUUAUCUUUAGAAUUUUUAACUAAAUACAUUUUAUUCAAUGUUUAUCAUUUUCUAGAAAAACUAAAAUAGAGUCCAAUAUUUUUAGUUCAACAAAAAAUUAACUCUAUUAACUCACAACAUUAAUCAAAAUAUUAAAUCAAUUUUUAGGGUUAGUUUCACAUUGCUUUUAAAAACUAUUUCUGGAAAGUGAUAUAAAAAAGUACUUUUACAAGGUAUUGUGAAAAAUAUAAUUUAAUAUUUUAAAUGUUCAGCAUUUUUAUUAAAAAAAUCAUUUUAAACCUUAUGUAAAGUAAAUUUAAAUUAUAUUUAAAAUAGGUAGUGUUAUGAUAUAUAAAAUAUCCAUCUCAAAUAUUUUUUCAGAAAAUAAUAUAAAUUAUUUGUAAAUUUUAAUUUUAGUAUAUUAAUAAUGUUUUACAUAUUGAAAUCACAUACAAAUAAGUAAAAGUAUCAUGGAGGCCCUUGUACUAAGAGACAAAUAACAUUUUGCCCCCACUACUCAAAAAAUGGACAAAUUAGCCCUUGUAUGUUGGAAAAAAGUUCAAAUUGACCCAUCCGUUAAAAAAUUCAUCCAUAUGUGUUGUUAAGUGAUGACUUGACUUUUAUAUUAUUUUUAUACAAAUGAAAUGGAAAUAGGAUGAGUAGGAUUCAGUAAAAGUACCAUGGAGACCCCUAUACUAGGAGUUGGAUUGCAUUUGGACCCCUUUACUCAAAAAAUGGACAAAUUAGUCCCUAUACGUUAAAUUAAAGAGCAAAGCGGUCCUUUUGUUAAAGAUUCCAUCCGUUUCUAUUGUUAAGUGAUAGUGGAUGGUGGAGCAACCACACACACAUAUAAGCAUGAGGUACACAUGGCAUAUCAUGUGUCGUUGUUAGUUGCUCUAUCAUCCAUGUCAUCAGUUAAAAGUAGAAAUUGAUGGUUUUUUUUUAACAAAAAGGACUAUUUUGCCCUUUGAUCUAACAUAUAGGGACUAAUUUGACUAUUUUUUUAGUAAAAAGGGCAAAAUAUAAUUCGACUCUUCGAUGGCCUCCAUGAUACUUUUACUUAAUCCUACUCGUCCUUAAAUUCCACACCACUUACACAAAAAAUUGAAGAAAAAAAUCAUCACUUAACAAUACAUAUAGAUGAAAUUUUUAAUAAAAGAGUCAAUUUGUACCCCUUUUUUUUUGUAAUAUACAAAGGCUAAUUUAUCCAUCUUUAUAGUAUAGGGGCAAAAUUCAAUCUAUAUCUUAAGAAGGGGCUUUAAUGGUACUUUUAUCCAUACAAAUAUAACUUUUAUAAAUUAAUAAAAACUUCAUAAUUGAUGGAAUAAUUAACUCGAAUGCAAAUUAUCUUUCUUUGCGGUAUCUUUUAUCCUUUUUAUUUUGGCUAAAGUGUUUUUAUUAUUAAUAUUAUUAUUACUAUAAUGAUGACAUGUUGGUAUUAUUUUAAUAUUAACAAAUAUUCAACUUAUAUUAUAAUAAAAAUAUAGAAAUAAAUUUUGAAAAUAGUUGUCAAUGUUAUAAAAAUUAUAGAAAAUAUUUAAGAUUUAUUAAAAAAUUUUGGAAAAAAUUUAAAAAUAAAAAAUAUAUAAAAAGUAUUAAAAGUAUAAAAACCUAAUGAAAAUUAUUGUAAUUUUGAGUUUUCCAUAUGUACCAAGAAAACAAACAACUAAUUAUAAUUUAAAACAAAAAUAAAAGAAAGAUUGAAACUAUCCCAUUGAAGCUUUUAUUCUCACAUAUAUAAGAAUAGUUCAGAGCCUUCCUAUUUUGUCUCAUCGUUUCUUUGUUUCUUUGUUUCUUCAUCACUUCCGUAUCUUGAGAGUUAAAAGCUAAGUUAUGUAAGAAAAAUUUUUUUUUUUGAAGAAAAACGUAUAAAGAAGUCUACGACUUUUGGUGUUUUUAAUAAAUUUCUAUAUUUUUUUAUAUUUUAAAAUUUUUUCUAAUUUUUUAAUAACUUUUAUAUUUUUCCUAUAUUUUUUUAUAUUUUUAUAAUUUUUAUUGUCUUUUAUUUAUUUUCAUUUUUAUCAUUUUCACCGCUUGUCACAAUCACCACAUGAUAUGUAGCGGAGAUAAUAACUUUAAAUAUUAUAUUUUAUAAUUUUUAAAAAAAAUUCUAAUUUUUUAAAUAAAUUUAAAAUACAAACCAAAAUUUUUUAAAUGUUUUUCUAUAUUUUUAUUGAUUUUAAUAUUUUUUUAUUUUUUUCCAUCAAGUGUCACAAUUAUAGCAUGACACCUGGUGAAGGUGAAGAUACUUGAGGAAAAAAAAUUUUGGAGCUGUUAACUUCAGUAAUCAAUCGUAAAGUUAACUAUCAAAGAACCUUUUUGUUGCUUUUUGAUAAUUCAAGUAUGCAAUUGAGUGCCAAAAAAAGAACAGGGGCUUAAUUGCUCUUUUUUGAAAAAAAAAACUUUUUACACCUUUAAGUCAAAAUUAUUUAGUUUAAAAAUUAUAUAUAUUUAAAGAUAAAAACUAAUUAUUUAGUAUUAUUUUUAAUUAAGGCUCCAUUUGUUUGUUUCACUGAGGCUUUUGGAAAAUGAUUUACUUUUCUGGAAAAACUAAUAUUUUUUAGUGUUUGGAUGAACUUAUGUAAAAUAUUUUCUGUUGUUUAAUAGAUUUCCUAAAAAUAUUUCAUAAAAGUUGUUUUCAAUGAAACAAACAUAUAUUUAAGAUUUAUGAUAAGUAGUGAAUUGAUUACAAAGUGGUGUUAAGGUGAAAUUAUAGUAAAUAAAUUAUGUUAAUGAUUAAGUUGUAAACUUUGUGAAAUUUAUAAUUGAAACAAGAGAAGUCAUAUGCAUGAGAAAGUGCUAUGUGAAAUAAGAUAUUAUAAUGAAUUAUUUGAUUUAAGUGCUUAUAUAGUAAAAAAUAAAAUUACAUAGCAAUAGGGACUAAAUUGUAAAAUGUACAAAAGUUUAAGUGUGAAACAAUUUAAUAUGUGAAUUAAGGAAAUUAUGAUAAAAGUUUAUUGGAUGUGUUAUGAGAUGAUGAAAUAUGUUUAAAGUAUUGUAAAAGUGAAAUUGUGGAAAAAUAUGAAUUUUUUAUGAUGAUAAGGGCUAAAUUGUUAAACUUGAAAAAAUAUGUGGAUGAAUACUAGAAGUGAAAUACAUAGAAGUUUAAUAUGUGAAACAAGAUAUUGAGAUAAAUUUGUGAUUAACGUAUAACAAGAAAGAAAAUCGAUUUAGUAUGAUUAAUUAGUGAAUAUUGAACUUUUAUGAUAUAAUGGAUUAAAUUGAAAAGUUAUGAAAGUUUAUAAGAAAAUAUUUGAUAAGUGAAGAAUAUAGUAGAGAAUGUAACAUCCUGAUGCUUUGACCAUAUGUUCAGGUCAAGUAUGAGAGUAUUACAAGGAAUAGAAUCUUAUCAGUUUACAAAAUGUCUUAUGAAAAAAAAAUUUAGUAAGACAUUUUUACGAUAAUAAAGAGAUAAUUUUAUAUUGGCUAAAAGAUCUUUCACGUUAAUCAUUCUAUUUUAUAUGAAACAAACAUUGAAAAAGACAGAAAAUAUUUUCCGUCAAAUUUUUUACGUUGAAACAAACACAACUUAAAAAUUGAUUAAAAAUAAGUUAAGAUUUUGACAAAUGAAUGUUUAAAGAAAAUAUAUUAGUAAGAGCGGUAUCAAAAGAGAAGGAAAGCAAUCAUCUAGUGUCUGUUUGCUGCAUGAGGUGUGAGGUAAAGCAUGAAACCCGGAUGAGCGGGCGAUCCCAUUUGCAGAUCAGGUGAAGAUUACCUGCUCACACCAGCUUCAUUUCGGGCCUACAUCUCGCCGCUCUCCUACUCAGGUUGCUUAAAUGUUUCUCUUUAUUCCACUAUUUUUAAUCAUAUUACAUUUUGUCAUGAAAGAAAAAUUAAUAUUAAAAUAAUUUUAGGAAAAAUAUAUCGAUAUCGAUAAGAUACUUAUAUUAUUGGUCUCAAGUUUAAUUCUUGUAUAUUUAGUUUUUAAUUAUUUUAAUUAAACAUUUCAUAUAAAAUAAUAAAAAACAAAAAUAUUAUUAUGAUAAUAUUUAUUAUUUAUUAAAAUUGAUUUUUGAUUAAUUUUAUUAACCAAAUUUAUAUUUAAUUAACUCAUAACAUUAAUUCAAUCAAUCACACUAUGUAUAAAUUAUUAUAUCAUAUCAUAAAUUAUCAUGGUAUAAAAUCAUAUAAUGUAUUAAACCUAAAAUCUAUAUUUUCAUACCUUGUAAUUAAGCUCAAUUUAAUUCUUUAACAAAUAAAUUUUGAAUUUAUCAGACACCACUUUAAUUAAUUUAACCAAAUAACUUAUAAAAUCGGAGUUGUAUAAAUGUUGGGCAGGCAAGACAAAAUCUGAUACUUACAAAUUCUUUUUUGAAUUUAGUUGGUAUCUGAAUUUACUAUCUUUGUACGAACACUAAGUUUGUGCUGACAAGUACUGAGUGGUAUCACCUGACAACCUCUUAAUAUACCAUGUGGUGGGUAUAAACUAAAAAAUAUUUAAAAAUAUAUAAAUUAAUAAAAUAUACUUUUUUUCACAUCAAGAAUAAAUCAAGAUAAAUGGGUGUCCAAAUUUAGAUGAAAUAUUAAUUCUUAGUAAAUUUAUAUAUUUUUAUGAAAUAUUAAUUUUUAGGUUAUUAUUAUUUUAAAUAUAUAUAAAAUAUAAACUUAUAUAUUUAUAAAAAUAUAUAAAAAUAAAUACAAUUACAAAUAUAUAAAAACCCUAUAAUAUUUUGAAAACUAAAUUAAAAAUACAACAUAUAAAUUAAUAAAAAUUUAAAAUUUAAAUAAACAUAUAAAAGAACUAAAAAUUUAUAAAAUUAUAAAAUGUAUAACUUUCCGUAUGCAUUUAAAUCUAGACAAGUAUGUGUAUAGAUUCAUUCUUGGUGUAAAUCUUUUUAUAGUUUUUAUUAAUUUAUAUAUUUUAAAUUUUUGAAAAAAAAUUAUAUUUUUAAAUUUCAAAAUAAUAAUAUAAAUAACAUGCUAUUUUAUUAAAAAAUUAUAAACUUAAUAAAAAAAUAUAUCUGAAACGAAUUUGAACAAAUGGGUGUCUAUAUUUAAAUAAGUUUGGACAAUAAUUUGUCCAAGUUCAUCCUUAUUUUAUAAAAAUUAUAUUUUUAUUAAUUCACAUAUUCUUUAAAGUUUUUUUUUUUAAAUUUAUACCUAUCAUAUUACAUACAAAAAGACUGUCACAUAUCAUAAUUGGAUUGUCUAUCUAUGCCUUGUUAACAUAAAUGAAUGGUGUUAAUAUAAAUAUACUACCGUAAGUGAUAAAAUACAAAUUCAAGAAUUAACCAAAUAGCUUUAAUAAAUUUAAGGGAUUGAAAAAUUGUAGCAUGUGAUAAGGCUGCGUCUUUAAUAUGAUUAGUGGUUGAAUUUUCAAAAGUUUGAGGCACGUGUUUCUUAAGUAUUUCUUUGAUGGAGUGCAGGCUAUUAGCAUUGGGAUACUCAUAAGGCAGCAACAUCCCACGACAGACUAGCUUGGCAGUGUGGCUAACAAACGCCGUAUGUCCCAAACCCACAACAACCAAACAUCAUCUAAUCUUACACCCCCCACCCCCAUUAUCCUAGUCCAUCAAAAGAUGCAUGCCAUCAAUGUUUCCGGCGGUGAUUUAAAACAUUCUGACAGGCAUCCAUCCAUUUAAGGAUUAGGUUGGAAUAUAAUUAAUUAAUUCACAUGUAACAUGUGAACCUCCAACUCGCUGCACUUGAUGUAUCGGCCACAAGAAGUGACACACAAUGUUAAAUGAAGGAGCAAUACUUAAAAUUCUGGAACGGGAAAACAUUAUUGUCAUCCACUGUGAAUAUACAUGGUCACAAUUCAUUUCCUUCAUAGCUACUCAUCUAUUAAAACUCAACACCUCUCAACAUCUAAUCAAUUUAAUUUUAAUCAAACACACCUAAACUUUCAAAUUUCUAUCCAUCCAUACAUAUAUUUAAAAUUAAAAUGUUAAAAUAGUUCUCAAAAAAUAGAAAGAUAAAAGAUUAAAAUGUAAAUUUUAAAUUUUAAAUUAAAAUUAAUUCUCUAUUUUUUAAGCUUAAAAAAAAGUUUAAUUAUUAACAUCUUAAAAUUUUAAUUUGUUAAAUUCAAAUUCAUAACAUUUUUUAUUAUAUAAUUAUUAGAUUUUAUUUAUAAAUAAUAAUAAAAAUAUUAAGAUUAAAGUGAAGAAAAAGGACAUGUGAUUUAGGUGUCUAGUUAUUGCUGUAAGCAAGACCGAGCAAAAUCUAAUUAUUUCUAGAUGAAAAUAAAGAAAGAAGAAAACGUCAAACACAUGGUUCAUUUCAACCUGCUAUAAGUACAUGUCAAAGAUGCUAUUAAUUGAAUACCUUUGAUCGCUCCUCCAAUCACAUCACGUUAGUCCACCUCCAUCACCCAAGCAAGCCAUGGCCCACACCUUUUACUACCACCCACAUUAUCAUACUUUGCUGCUUCUAAACAAUCGUAAUUAAUUAGACAUUAGAAGGAGGACGACAUGUGCUUAUUUAUCAAUUCCAAAUAUUAAACCAUGAUUUGUAUUUAUCCACGUAAUUUUACUUUUUUAAUUAAAACUCCAGAUAAAUGAGUAUUUUUCUAAUCAAUACAUUUUUAAUCAAAUCUUAAAGAUAGAUUACUUUUUCCUAUCAAACUAUUAGUUAGUAUAAAUAACUAACCGGAAUUUUUAAAUAAUUUAAUAUUUGAAGCUCAAAACACGUUUGAUUAAGUUAAUAUUACAAAUUAAUUAGAUAUUAAUUUAGUUAAAAAAUAAUAAAAUCUCUUUCUUUCAUAAAAUAUAUUAUAUUUAUAGUGAGAUUUAAAUAUAAAGCUAUCAUAAUUUCAAAAUUAUCACUUUAAUCAAAUUCUGUAUGUCUUUAAUAUAAUUUUUUUAAAUAUGUUUAUUGUACCUUUCAAGCAUAAUCUAUGGUUAAUAAUAAUAAUAAUAAAAUAAUCAUAUUAAAUUUUUAAAAUACAAAAUCCAAAUUCGCUAUUUUCUUCCAUUAAACCAUCUUACACUAUUUCCAAUGCUGUCAAGGUCAUCUAGUUUUGGACUUGUGCCUUCAAAGGGUGAAUGAUUCCACGUGGAAGGCGUGUAUCAUUCUUUCUUUCUUUCUUUUUUCUUUAAAAUUUUUUCAUACGCCUCUCUCUCCCCUUGCCGCCCCCCCGCCUCUUUAAAUUUAACUUUCUCCUCAUCCUUACCUUACACAUCUGUUUCCUUUACGAAACUGAGCCAAAAAAAAAAAAAAAAAGGAAAAUCGUCUUUCUCAUUUAUAGUUAAAAGAAUAUGUCGAGAGCUAGCGUCGAGCUUGAUUUCUUUGGAAUGGAGAAACAGAACUGCUGCAAAUCUCGGUUUCAGAAAUCUCUCGAUCGCCGUCUAAGCUUUCGAGGUACCUCUAAAUCUACUCUCUUUUUCUUUUUCUUUUUGUUCUUUGUUUUUUCAAUGGCUGAAUCGUAAUUAAUUUUAACAGGUCUUCAAGGCGCCCUUUCGAAGGUGAAUCCUGAGCUUAUUAAAUCCGUGAUUGCCUCUGGUUUGAAGAACCCGCAGGGUCAGGAUAAUGUGUAUCAGAUGGACUCCAACAAGUCUUUUUCGGUCCCUUCCAGUCCUAAAGAAACUCAGAGUCUGUUUCCAGCUUUACCUCUUCUUAACCCUGCUGCCAGGUGCUCAAUUAGUUCCUUACUUUCCAUAUAAUUAUCUUUUUGUUCUUCACAAACCGGAUUUAAAUUUUAAAUCACUGACGUGAAAAUUGUGAAUCUUCUUUUAUUUAGGGCUACAUCCGAGAAUGGUCCUGAAAUAGCUCCCUUAACCAUUUUCUACAACGGAACGGUUUCCGUUUUUAAUGUACCUCGAGAUAAGGUUUGUUCAACAAUAAGUUAAUUAUCCAAUUUUUUUUUAAAAAAAAACUUGUUUUGUUGUUAAAAUAUUCAAUGGUAUUAACCUGUCUAAAAUUUUGACUAGGUGGAGAGCAUCUUAAAACUCGCGGUUGAAGUUGAAGGAAACUCAAAAAAUGUUGAACCAAUAGACUCAAAAGUGGCAAGUCCUCCUAGCGAUCGACAACAGCUUCUUGAAACUCUCAAUGGAGGUCAGAGUCUGCUUAAUUUCCUCCUUUUUUUAUUUGCUUAUAUUAUAUUUUCAUGAACUUGCUAAAUUCGUGUAAAAAAUCUGAUAUUGUUUCUAAUCUUAAUAAAUUUAUGCUAAAGUUAGCGGUUGUUUUGAAUUUCUAUGCAGAUUUGCCAAUCGCCCGGAGAAAGUCUUUGCAGAGAUUUCUGGAAAAGCGCAAAGAGAGGUUUUUUUUUUUAAUUACGAAAUCUUACUUUAAAAAAUGAAAAAAAAAAACAAUUGAAAGGCAUAUUAUCGAAAAUUCAAAAUUUCUUAAAGUCCGCUAGUUCACGAUCCACAUUGCCUAUAUUAUUUUCCAUGCUACAAGAACAAUAUCUGAUCAGUCAUUUGAGUUAUAGUAAUUCACAAAUUCAUUUUCUGAUCUUAAAAGUAUAAUUUUACUUAUGGUUAAUUAUUAAAUAUAUUUAAAAUAUAAAAGAAAAUCAGAGGCUUAUGAACAAUAGUGCAGUAAAAACCUAAUAGGGACUAUUUUGCUUGAUUCCAUUUAAGCACAUGGAAAAUGGAAAGUCUCAGUGUCGGCAAAAUAAUCAAAUAAUGUUUCCCUUGAUGGUGUCUUCUAGACUGUAUGAUUAAAAAAAAAAAUAGUUGUUUACUUCUCAAUUUGAAAUUUGAAUGUUGCACCGAAAGUUGAAAAAGGAAAAGCACACAGACACGGUAGUGAAUAAGGAGAGCAGGACUCUGCCCUAAUACUAAAUAUUUCUUAACCAAUUUCUUUAUUUGACCACAACUUUUUUCUAAAAAAUAUAGUUUUGUUAUGGUUGAAAUAAUUAAAUUAUUAUUAUGUAAUUAAAAUCCGUCAAAUAAUAACGCGUGUCUUUUCUUUAUUUGUUUUCAG
rnacentral:lncRNA from 1 species